rnacentral:lncRNA from 1 species
UUUUUUUUUUUUUUUUUUUUUUUUUUUUUUUUUCUCUUUUUUUCUCAAAAAAUUCAAUUUCAACAAUUGAACUUUUUUUUUUUUAAGAAAGUAGAACCCAUCAAUAAAGCUAAUCGGAAUCGAAAAAAAUCUUAAGAUUCCGAUGAAUAAUCGGCAAAUUUGUCAAUGGGCAAACUCCGAUGCAGUUUUCAGAAAUAACUAACAAAAGUUGCUGACCGAAUUUUUUUUGUCCCAAUAGAAACUACUCUUCUUGAUCCAAUAAGAUAAAUUGAUGUAAAUAAUAAGAGAAACAUAGCAGAUUGUCAGUGGCUUUGAUUUUUGAUGAUUCUCUAAAGCUCAAACCAGAUUUGAUUGCUUGGAUGUUCAUUAGUUGAAGUGGUUUUUUCCAUCACAAGAUUAGAGGUUGAAGAAGAGAUGAUGGACUAUGCUAUAUCAGCAUCUCGUUGGUUUGGAAACGAAGAGAAAAUUUAAUGAAAAAAAUAAUGUUAUAUCAGAAUCUCGUUGGUUUGGAAUCCAAGAGAAAAUUCAAUGAAAAAAAAAAGAGAAAAUAAGUGGUAAAAAUUUAAUGGGGUGGGACGCUUUUUGCGUAGUAAAAGCGCGUGUAAUACAUCGCAUCUUAUUUACUUGGACCAUGGUGCCGCAUCAGCUAAAAAGAUGGAUAAAAAUAUACUGAAAUUGAGGUCGGAGAGGAUGAGGGGAUGGUAAUACCUACAUAACUAAUACGUGCAUAACUAAUUGCUACAUAACUAAUAUCUGCAUAUAACUAAUUUCUAUGUAAUUAAUGUUGAGUUUUUUAAGAGGUGUGAAUAGAAAAUGAAUAGGUAUUUUUUGAAAAGACACCAAGAGAAAGGAUGUAACGUGAAUAGACACCUUUUCGGAUUGGAUGGUUAUGACGUUCCAAAAUGUUGUGACUUUUUUGAAAAGUUGCACCUUUUCCGAAGAGUUGAACCUUUAUGAAGGGGUGCACAUUUCUAAACCAUCGUUUCUCUUUAUGAAGCAACACCUUGAUGGCUAUAAAUACCUAAAAUUUUUCUCCAGUAUCGACAUGAAAUUUAAAGAGAAAAAUACUCCUCUUUCUUGGAAAAUCUGUAGUGUAAUUUGCUACCGUUAAGUGAGUUCGUAGUUCAACAGAAUUUGAGGUACUGCUAUUUUGUCAAAGUGAUUCAUUUUAGCCUGGAAGGAUAUAUUCCAUAACCACGGGUACUUGAGGAGAAUGAAUUCGGUGGAGUUGAAUCUUAUUGUUUCAUUUUUUUUUUCUUAAAGUUGGUUUUACUAUUUUUCCAGUAAAUAGUUUAAACUUCAUAUUGAUAGUUCUUCAACUGUUUGAACUUGUGUUUGAAGUUCUUGAAACUUCAUUUUGAUAGUUAAUAGGUUGGUUGAACUUGUGUUGAAGUUCUUAACAUUUGAUUUGCUAUUUUCCAAAAAAUAGUUUGAAAUUCAUUUUGUUGAUGUUAUAAGUUGGGUUGAACUUAUUGUUUAAAGUUCAAAGUUGUAAAUACAGAGUUUAAACUUUAUUUGAUUGUUCAUAUGAUUAUUUGGACACGUAUUUGAAGUUUUUGUUGAAAAAUACAGAUUUUACUUAAUCCGAGAAAAAUAACAAUGUUAAGGAAAUUAUGUAAUAUAAUAUAAAUAUUUCUUUUUUGUGCUUGUUUGGUGAAAGAAAGAAUUUUUUUUAAUCACCAUUUAUAAAUCAAGUACUUGUUUAAUCUGUAUUGUGAAAACUAAAAUCUUUUGAUUUGUACUCUCUCGGUUAGAAGAAUAUAAAAAAUUCACCGAAAAAUCAAUGUAAAAAUUUGGUUCGAAGAAUAUAAGAACUUCACUGAUUCGGUGAACUCUCUUUAUUGAUUUCUGUAAUUUAAAACCUAUGGAUUUUCACUCUGUUUGAAUUUGAUUUUGAUUUGAAGUCAGAAAAACUUUAUCAGGUUUCAAAGUUCAUUCGGUUGAUGAUUUGAAGAUAUAAAAAUUUCAUCGUUGACUGAAAACAAGUUGGAUAAAGAUUAAAGUCUUUAUUGUUAGUAUAUGAAAUACUAAAGUAUAUGUCAAAGAGUUACAGAAAAAUGACGAAUGAAACUGAAUAACAAAUUGAUUCGGUUGUGUAUAAUGCUAUCCCAACGACAAUCAAUGUUGCGCCAUUAAGUCGUUUAGAUAUUGCUUUAGCAAUAAAAACGGUAGAGAAACUAAAAAAAAUAUUUUGGUGCGAACUUCAAAGAAUAGCAGUAAACGAUGUUAUUUUGGCUGACCGAAUUUGAAAUGCAAAUGUUCACAAGUAUAGAUCCUCAUAUUUCAGAAAAAAUUAUGAUUGAAAAUCAAUUGUUUGGUUUGAAAGAUCUUGUGAGUCUUCCAAGAUAGAAGAUGAUAAUGAGUUGAAUGAGAAAUAAUAAAUGAUGGUUGCAAAUCCUGUUAAGGAUGAUGCUCCAAAUAAUAAGAAGAUGAAGUCUUCUGGACAAGAGAAAGAGCAGAACAAAAAACAUUCAAAGGCAAGUGCUACAAUUAUAGUGAUGUUGGACACAAAGCUCUAGAUAGUCAAGUUCUGAAUAAGAAUAAGAAAAGAGAUCAGAUAAACAAGUUGAAAGCAACUGUAAGGAUUGGAAAUAUGUGUGCUAUUAUCACUGAAAGCAAUUUAGUUGGAAAUCCAAAUGAAUAGUGGUUUGAUUCAGGACACUAGACAUGUUUUGCGGACAAAAAAACUUUUGCUACUUAUGAUACUAUUGGUCCCAAAGAAGUGAUCUUCAUGGGAAAUAAUGCAAUAGUCAAGAUUGAAAGAAAUGGAAAGAUAAUCCUAAAAAUGACUUCUGGCAAGGUGUUGACUCUCAACAAUUUUAUUUAUGUUCCUACUAUUAGGAAGAACUUAGUGUCGACAAUAUUUCUCAUUAAAAAUGAGUAUAAGUGUGUGUUUGUUUCAGAUAAAGUUGUAAUAAGCAAGAAUGAAACAUAUGUAGGAAGGUUACUUCAAUGAGGUCUUUUCAAACUUGAUAUAAUGACUGUUGAAAUGAAGAAAGCUAGGUUUCUUCUUUCUUGCUAGAGUCAAAUGAUUUAUGGCAUAGUUGUUUAGGACAUGUCAAUUACAAAAUCUUGUGAAAACUAAUUAGUUUGAAGGUGUUACCUAACUUUGAGUACAAUAAAUCAAAGUGUCAAAUAUGUGUGAAAUCUAAGUAUUCAAAGCAUUCUUAUAAGUUCGUUGAAAGGAAUUACAACCUUUAGACUUAAUCCACACUGAUAUUUGUGAUAUGAAGUCAACAUUAUCUCAUGGUGGAAAAAGUAUUUUAUAAUUUUUUUUAACGAUUGCACUAGAUACUGUUAUAUUUAUUUGAUAAAUGGCAAGGAUGGAGCAAUAGACGUGUUUAGGCAAUAUAAAGCAGAAGUUAAAAAUUAUUUGGAUAAAAAGAUCAAAACGAUAAGAAGUGAUAGGGGUGAAGAGUAUGAAUCUCCUUUUGAGAAGAUAUGUUUAGAAUAUAGAAUUGUUCAUCAAACUACUGCCUCAUAUUCACCUCAAUCAAAUGAGAUUACAGAAAGGAGAAAACCAAACAUUAAAGGAAAUAAUGAAUGUCUUACUCAUAAGUUCAGGUUUACUACAAAACUUGAGGAGGAGGGAGGGGGGACGCUAUCCUUACAGCUAACCGAAUACUUAAUAGAGUGUCCAAUAGUAAGACACAUUCAAUUACAUAUGAAAAAUGAAAAGAAAGAAAACUCAACUUGAAAUAUUUUAAAGUGUGGAGGUGUCUAGCGAAAGUCCAAGUUCCUAUACCUAAAAGGGUAAGAACAGGACCUAAGACUGUGGACUGCGUGUUCACUAAAUAUGCUAAAAGUAGUAAAGGAUGUCAAUUUUUGGUUCAUAAAUCCAAAUAUCUUGGAUAUCAAUGAAAAUUUGGUAAUUGAAUCAGAUAAUGCUAAGUUCUUUAAACACAUUUAUCCGUAUAAAACUGGAUAUGAGCAGUCUAGGGAAGGGUCUAGAUGACCUCGAGAUGAACUAAAUGAGAAUGUACUUAAUAAUGAGAAUCCAAGGUGUAUCAUACGUCAAAGAACGUCAACGUACUUUGGAUCAAAAUUUGUAACAUUUCUUCUUGAAAAUGAGCCUCAAACAUUUAAAGAAGCGAUGUCAUCUUCGGACGCUUUCAUUUUGAAAGAGGCAGCCAAUAGUGAGAUUGAUUUAAUCUUUAGCAACCAUACUAGGAAGUUAGUUGAUCUUCCUCCAAGAAAUAAACUUUUAGGUUCUAAACGUAUCUUCAAAAGAAAAAUAAAAGCUGAUAAUACUAUUAAUAAAUACAAGGCAAGACUUGUAGUAAAAGACUUUAAACAAAAAGAAGGCCUUGAUUAUUUUGAUACAUACUCACCUGUAACAAGCAUAAUGUCCAUUCUCAUGUUGGUUUCCUUAGCGGCGAUAUAUGAUCUUGAAAUACAUCAAACGAAUGUGAAAAUAACAUUCCUAAAUGGAGAAUUCGAGGAAGAAAUAUACAUGGAACAACCUGAGGGUUUUGUGGUUCCUAGUAAAGAAAACAAAGUGUGUAAACUUGUUAGCUCACUUUAUGGACUAAAACAAACACCCAAAAAGUGGUAUGCAAAGUUUGAUCAAAUCAUGUUGGAAAAUGGCUUCAAGAUAAAUGAAUGUGAUAAAUGUGUUUACAUUAAAGAUACUCUAAAUCACAAAGUCAUUAUCUGUUUGUAUGUGGAUGAUAUGUUGAUCAUCAGUAGAGAUAUUUUUGACAUAAAUGCUUGAGAGCAAGUUUGAUAUGAAAGACCUUGGAGUUGCGGAUGUGAUCUUAGGGAUAAGAAUCGAUAAAACUCCACAAGGGUUGGCGUUGUCACAGUCUUAUUACAUUGAAAAGAUAUUUGACAAGUUCAAGUAUUUGGAUUUUGGUAUUGCCAAAACUCCAUUAGAAGUGAGCUUUGAACUUCAGAAUAAAGGUGAAAAUAACUCACAGUUGGAAUACACAAGAGUGUUGGAAAGUUUAAUGUAUAUCAGAAAUUAUACGCAAUUGGAUAUAGAAUAUGCUAUUAGUAAAUUGAGUCGGUACACGAGUAAUCCUAGUCAAACUCAUUGGAUGACAAUGACAAGAGUUUUAGGGUAUCUAAAAAAUACUCAAGACUACUCUUUGCGUUAUAAUAAAUAUCCAUCGGUAAUUGAAGGAUAUAGUGAUGCAAAUUGGAUCGCCGGAUCAAAUGAAGUAAAAUUCAUAAGUGGGUAUGUAUUUAUUUUAAGUGGAUGAGCAGUUUCUUGGAAAUCAUCCAAACAAACAUGCAUUGCCCGAUCUAUAUUGGAAUCUGAAUUUAUAGCAUUAGAUAACACCGGUGAAAAAGCUUAAUGGUUUCAGAAUUUCUUAUAAGGUAUUCCUUAUUAGUCCAAACCAUUAGCACCAGCAUGUAUACACUGUGAUAAUCAAGUGGCGAUAAAUGGUAUAGAGAUCAUGAUGUAUAAUGGCAAAUCUCACCAUAUAAGAUGGAGACAUAAUACUGUUAGAAAAUUACUCUCUAGUGGAACUAUUAUUGUUGACUAUGUGAAGUCAAAGAAUAAUGUGUCGGAUACACUUACAAAAAAGUCCUAUCUAGAAAGGGAGUUGAUAGAUCAUCGAAGUGAAUGGGUUUAAGGCCUACGACAAGUUAGCAUGGCGAUAAAUCUACCUAGUAGAUUAAAGAUCCCAAGAGCUAGGAUGAUACACGAACAAAGUACUGAAUCGAAAACCAAACUACGAUAUGAAUACGAAAGCUAAAAAUAGAUAGAGAAGCAGUAAGAUAGACACAAUGCAAGGAAUUGAAAGCAAAUAAAAGGUGUAUCAAACCCUAAACCCUCAAUCAAUUAAACCAAACAAAGCACCUAAAUCUUACGUAGACCUCAAGGGAAUCGAUUCUCAAACAACCCACGUUUCUAAAUAAAAGAUCAACACAAGCGAAUCCACGCCUUCCUCACACACUCACAAGUGUUCAAAUUCAUAAUUCAACAUAAACUACUUACUAAAAUAAAAAGAUGUACUAUUUGUAGUCUAGGCUAGGUAAUUACAUCACAUGGGCCCAAAAGUGACCCAUUUAGGAAAGAUAAACUCAUAGAAGCCUAUUAGGCACUUGAUUAAGCAUAUGGGGCACACAUGGGGCACAUCCCAAGGGUAUAGUGGGUUGUUUUGACCCGCUCUAGCAGAUCUAGAGCAGGUUGGGCACACCUUCAAAGCGAAUGGGGUGCAUCUCCUCUUUCGGAGUCUUUCUAAGCUCGUUUGGUCUUCUAUUAGCCUCUCUAAUGUCCCUUGAGUCUCCUUGGUCAUCAUAAUCAUCACAUGUGCACUUUUCAAUAGCCCUCAAGAAAUCUUCAAGUGUCAUUUGAUCUGUAAUCAUCCUCUCUAGCAACUCGGGGCCUAUUUGGCUUGUAUCAUCCUUUCCUUCUUGAAUAGGAUUCGACCUCGAAUCUAAACCUUGCAACACCAAAGGAAGGACAAACAAAAGCAAUAUUCUCACGGCAUGAGGGUUAGAAUUAACAUAUUCAAUAUACCAUCAUGCAAAGGUUGUACAUGGUUAAGAUAUAACCAAGCAUCAAAAUGUUCAACAAAGGGUGUAUAACCUCACAAAGUAAGAACUACUUGGUCAUUCAAGAGAUUUGGACAAAGAGGUAUGCUAAGGGAACCAUUGUAAUCAUUGAACUACUCAUAAAGGCUCACAUGGAUUCCAAGUCUUAAUAAGCUCAUAACCCCACUAUAGCACUCAUAUUUGUUGGAGACCCUUUCCUUACACAACUUUGGCCUCUCAAGUAGAUUAGAAAUCUUUAAGAAAGACUUUCUGUCAUAGGGAUGAGUUCCAAGACCCUCAAUCAUGGUUGGCUUAUCUUCUUAUCCAAACACCAAGUGGUGUGGAGAAGAACCUUCAUAUUUUAAAUGAUCAGCGGGAUCAAAUGGGUAGAGUAUCCAUAGACAUGGGUUUAGAAAACACUUUUUUUCCCCAACAUUACCACCAAUACAAUUAUUUGUACCCUCUAUACUAGAAUGAUCAUUAACAAAGGCAAUUAGAGGGUCAUUCCUAUUCAAUCGACCAACAAUCUCAACAUCACCAUUCACUUGAUGUCCUUUAAAUACUUCACAAACAUUCCCAAGUGAUGUUAUAGGUUCACAUACAAGUAGAACCUUAUGACUUCCACAAGACAAUGUACUAUCACUUAUCUCAAUGUCUUUAACCCUAGGUGGACAUAAAUCUCUCUUACUAGAAGAAUCAAUUUUGUCAUCAUAAGGAUCAACUAAUGUUUCCACGCUUUUAAGUUGUACAUUAUCAUCAUGAAGUAAGGAGACAUUAGGCUCACUUAAAGAUAAACUAUAUUUCAUACUUAAAUUUGGACUGGUCUGUUGGGUAGAAUAAGUUACUUUGGAUUAGGACUUAGUCAAUUCCAUUUAAUUUUUAGCCAAAUUGAGUAUCAUUGGCCGAUGUUAUUGCAAUUGUGGCCAAAUUUAUUUUAAUUAUGGCCAAACUUAAUAAAUGACUAAUUUAACCACAAUUUGUGAUGUAUUAAAAUCUGAUUUAAUUUCGAGCUUCUUGAUUUAAUAAAAUCAAAUAAAUAUUUUUCCAAAUAAAUUAUUUUAAGACAAAAUUAUAUUUAGAUUAAGAUUUUAACCAUUUGAAUCAAUUUUUGAGAUGACCAUUGAUUAAAUAUAAUUGUUACUUAAAAUGAAAAAAUUACCUAGAUCAAUACUUUAUAAAACUUUUAUAUAGAUAAAAUAAAUGUUAUAAUUUUAUUUAAAUUUGAAGAAACUCAGAAUUAAACUUAGUUGUGGAGGGUAAACAUUAGGUGUCAACAAUUGCCCCCUCCCUUUGGAUAGGGUGGAUGUAAGUAGCCCUGGACAAAGAGAGUUUGGCGUUUCUAAUUUUUGUCUGACCACAAAUUCAUUUUUGAAAAAGGUUGUUUCGCACGAGUUUUAUAUAGUUAUGGUUGGACUUCGGUAUCGGGUUUCCUAGAAAAAAUAUUUUUUAUUUUAGACGAUCUUUGGUUCAAGACGAGUGACAAGUUGAUUGCGUUUGCAGAAAAGAGGAUUGUAACCUCUUAACCAUGAAUAUGGAGCUCUUCUCAUCCAUAGUUAAGAAUUUACCCAAACAUAAUUUCCGCAGCUUUAGGUGUCCUAUCACUUGAAUUUAAAGGAAAAAGAAGGUUAUCCUCGACAUGAGUAUAGAAAUAUCCCGAAAGUAAAGCUGAAACUAAAAUAUCCCAAAGUACCAUAUGCCUUCAAACAGGGGUGUGGUUUGCUGGUGGUGGCAAUCAUCCUUUAGCUCACGUCCAAAGAGUUUGACGUCCCUCUCUAGAUUAUGUCCUGAUUUGAUGCUAAGAAAAAGUUCUAUGUUGUGCUGCAUCUUUUUUAGAGUCAUCCGCACCUGCGGUUUUGAUUUGAGAUUUUCAUCCUUUCGGAUGCUCUAAAUAAUAUCUCAAAUAAAAAUUGUUAGUAAUAAACAUAAUUCACAAAAUAAAUAUAUAGUAUUUUUACCAUAUCUCCACGUGAGUUGUUAUUUAAAAAGUGAAUUCAUCCCUUCAUGAUGUCUCUUUUGUUGAUUGAAUAUGUCGUCAAAGUGGGGUGACCUUCUUGGACAUCGAAGACACUUUAUGUAGAAUGAUCCCUGCAAUCAUGUAAUCUUAUACUGGUACGAUGACCUUUUUGGUCACCUAUAAUGCUUUUUUAUGUGAAAUUUUAACCUCUUCAUAUAUUGACAAUGAUCUUUUGUAUGUGACCUCGGGUAGGUUUUGCGCAUCUUUCAUAUCGAUAUGACUUAUAGCUCCCCCUUAAAGUUUCAAUAUUUGGAUAAUCUUGCGCAUUAUUUGAUAUUGGAUAUGAGGGGACUUACAAAUAUUCUUUGAGUUUCUAGCUUUUAAGGUAAUCCUGCACAUUAUCUAACCUUGGACAAGAGAUGUCUUACAGAUAUCCCUCGAAUCGCUAGCUUUCAUUUAGUCCUGCACAUCAUCCAGCCUUGGAUAUAAUAGGUCUAAUAGAUAUCUCUCAAAUUGGUAAUCUUUGGGUAAUCCUGUGCAUAAUUGAUCUUGUAUAUGAUGCGGCUUAUAGAGAACCCUUGGACUUACCAAUUUGAUAAUCUCUCAUAUUCUUCGAUAAGGAUUUAGUUCCGACUUAUGGUUAACCUUUGGACUAUCGUUUUUUAGGUAACCUUGCACACUAUCUGAUUAUUAUGUUGUUUUGGAUCAUGGAUGACCUAUGGACUAUCAACUCAUAAGUAAUCUCUCACACUAUCCUAUUUUAAAUAAUGUGACUUAUAGAUAACCCCCAGAUUAUCAACUUCUAGAAAAUCUCAUAUGUCAUCCACUUUCAGAUAGAGACUUAAAGACGUCACUUCUAGUCAUGUGAUUUUCAACUUGAUAUGUCGAUGUAUGCUAAUCCAUAAAAUCCUAAAAUAUCCUUGACACAGGGCUACAUCGCCUUUUGCGUGGUCAAUAAAUAUAAAAUGCUGAGAUAUCCUCAACGCUAAAUUAUACUAUCUUCGUAUGGUCAAUUGAUAGUGGUGCUCCAAAGCACCUUCCAAGGCCAAACCUGAUCGUCUUGCAUGGUGAGAAAUCAUGGAGACUUAGUUGAAUGACAUGAUGGACCUCUCGACAAUGGCAUGAAAUAAAAUUGUCCUCUCGGUAAUGAUAUGAAAUGGCCCUCUCGACAAUAAAAUGAUAUGAAAUGGCCCCCUUGACAAUGGAAUGAAAUAUCCCUCUUCUCAAUGAAAUGAUAUGAAAUGACCCUCUCGGCAUGGCCCUUUCGGCAAUGGAAUAAUAUGAAAUAACCCUCUCUGCAUGACCUUCUUGAUAAUGAAAUGAAAUAGCCCUCUUGUCAAUGGAAUGAAAAGAUCCUUUCGACAACGGAAUGAAAUAGCAUGGCCUUCUUAGCAAUGGAAUAAAAUAAAAUGGAUCUUUUGGCAAUGAAAUGAUAUGAAAUAGCCCUCUCAGCAUGGACCUCUUAGAAAUAGAAUAAAAUGGCCCACUUGGCAAUGAAAUGAUAUGAAUUGACCCUCUUGGCAAUGGAAUGAAUGACACUAUUGGUAAUGAAAUAGCCCUCUCGGCAAGGCCCUCUUUGCAAUGGAAUAAAAUGGCUCUCUUAGGAAUGAAACGAUAUGAAAUGGCCCUCUUGGAAAUGAAAUGAUAUGAAAUGGCCCUCUUGGUAAUGGAAUGAUAUGAAAUAGCCCUUUUGGCAUGACCCUCCUGGCAAUGGAAUGAAAUGUCCCUCUUUGCAAUGGAAUAAAAUGGCUCUUUCGGAUAUUUGAAAAUAGUUUUACCUGAGUCCGCCUGUCUGCGUUUUUUCUUUCUACAUGUACCUAUACUCAAGGUAGAAAAUUAGUAGACAUAAUAUCGCUUUCGAUGGCGACUACAGGCAAACAUCAUGACAGUUUAAAUGAAUAAUUAUAAUGACUUAGUCAGUUAUUCAUCUUUUUUUUUUGGAUAAGUAUUUAAACAAAAAAUCUACAGAAUGUAAACAAAUGGGCAAAAUCCCUUUUUGGGGGACCACGCGAAUGUCGUUUGCUUUGCCUCAUGGCGAAUUUUGAGAAUGACUUUUUGCUCUUACUCCUAUUGUGUGAUCCCUUUGAUUGCUGUAUUUACUAUGCCGACUCUUUUGAAUGCACUUGUACUCAAAGUAAAUAUUUAGUAGAUACAAAGUCGCUUUUUCUAGCGACUAUUUUUUAGAAAAAUUCUAAAUAAAAUAUUCAAAAAGAGGAUAAAGUACCUUUGUUUUUCAUUCAUGAUCUCCUGAAAUGAGAGAGACAACUCAAAAGGUCCUUGAUUGAUGGGUAUUGAACCCGUCUUUAGGGCUACUAAAAAAUACCAUUCUUGAGCAUUAUAUGCUUUGGUGUGGUUCCUAAUUCGCUUGGGAAUUUUUGAAAAAGAUUUCUAUUUUUGUGUAUUGAUCCCUGCAUCCUCAGAAAAAUGGUUAGUUUGAGUAAAACUACUCUGUGUUGAUCUUCUUUGAUCUCUGGUUUUCUCCUUGCCAUCUUUCGGGUGCUCCAUCGCCCUGACUCCCCGACUCCCGUUCCAAUAGAUUCUUAGGCAUUCACUAAGUUAAAAGGUGUGUAUUGAUUUUCAAAAAUAGUCUUAAUUUUAAAAAAAAUUAGUUUCAAUUUUUUUUAAAAGCUUUUAGAAAAUCGCUGCCAACCAUGUCAUAUACUAGCUCAACGAAUGUUUUCCUCUUGAGGCUUGACUAUAUCUGACAUCUGACGGAGGAUUUCUAGAAACUCAUCAUCGUCAUUAAGGUUUUUUACCAUAAGUUCUGUUAUAGCUGGGGAUUUAGUCUAUCUAGACUUUGUUGCAGCUAGUGAUUUCUAAAACUUGACUUUGACCUCUGGUGUUGGGGAAUUUGAAAUAUACUCCAGUAUAUUAGUGGAAUUUUGAGGACCUCCUCAAAAUUUUUGCCCCAGUUUAGUGUUGUUUGAGAUGAUCUCAGCUUGAGUAGACCCAAAGUCUUUGUUGUUCUUUGUUCUCUUUGUUGGAUAAUUAUCUUCUUCUUUUGAAUUUUUGAGAUUCAUUCUCGAAAAUUCUUCCCAAGUUUCCAUUUUCUGGGAUGGUAUGACUGAGCCAUUGGGACACCUACGUGUUAUGUUGAUUAGAAUCAAAGGCGAAUUGAUCCAAUCUCAUUUUCCAAAGAGCACCUCUAAGCAGAAAUAUACCCACUAUAUAAAAGUCCGACCAAACAUACUCCAAGUCUCUCAAUAAUCGUUAUUAAAACUUCCUAAAUUCUCGCUAUCAUUUCAAGAAGAUUGACUAUGGACUCAGAAGAAGCCAUUAUAGAAAGGACCGAAAAGAGCAAUAGGAGAAUUGCUAAAAUAUGAUUGGUGAAGUUAGACCAAAAAUAAGAUAUACUAAAGGCGAAAAUAAGAAAGUGCCUAAGAAGAUUGUUGUGGCCAAAAUAAAGAUCACCAAAGUCAACCUAUUGAUUGAGUUCGAACUACGUAAAGUCUGAUUUCUCCUCCGUGAGAUGCGUAGGCAGCCUUUUGGUACGACCCCUAUCUUCAAAAACUCUGUUGUCCUCUACUUUCUUGAAAGAAGAAAUAAGGUCGGAAAGAAGAAGAGUUGAACCUUCCUGAUAAAUUUCACUUAUCCAUAUCAAUGAGAAAAAUCCAGUUCAUUGAAAUUCUCAAAUCAUCAUUACUCCAUGGGUCAAUUUGCAUGAGAUGAGAAACAACUUUAUGCGUUUACUUUCUGCGUUAUCAUCUUGUGUUGCUUAUUACUAACGUAAUCUAACACACCAGCCUUUGAGUUGUUUUUAAUUUGCAGGUAAUAGAAACUACUCUAUGUUGGCAUAAAAUGGCCCUACUUGACUAGAUAAAAGUGAACAAGAGAUUUCCCUCUUGACUAUAACUUUGUUAUAGGAAAGGUAAAAUGACUGGCAGUAAAAUUGGACUCUACCAGUCAUUUUUUUAAAAAAAAUAUAUAAGUGAUGGUCUCGAGAAUGGAAUAGGAAAAAAAGUGAUGCUAUCAUGGAAGAUUUUUCAAGACAGUCAAAAUCAAGGAAGAUAAAUUGGAGGAAACGUUGUUGAACUGGACUUUCACUCCACUUAUUACUCCCCAAGCAAUAGGAUAUAUAGAAAAGUGAAAUUUAAUUUUUCACAAAAUCGGUGGUAAUACGGAUGAGACCCGAUUCCCACCCUUUAACUUUAUUUAAUUCUCUUGUGUUUUUAUGUUUUUUAAAAGGCGUCGACUCACACUCGUGCGGGUUAUGGCUAGAGUUUGUAAAUUUUUCCUCAAAACUCAAUAUAAGCCUCACCUAUUGAGAUAAUCCUUAUUGUUUAUUUUGUUAUCUACUUGAUAUUGUCAAAAUUGUUCGAUUUUGAUAAAAGUAAUAAAGAUCUAAAACCUUCUAAUACAUGUCAUGUCAAGAGCAAAAUGAACAAAUCAGAAAAUAUGAUGACGCAUAGGAGACAAUGAUCUUAGAAUGGUCAAUGAAAGAAUCAAGGAGUUCAAGAAUCAAGAAAAUCCUAACCUAGAAAAAACUGAGGUGGUUAAUCAAGGGAACAACGACCAAGUUAAGAGAAUCAGGGUCGACGUCUAUCUAGAAAAGGCAAGGAAGAAGGAAUUUUAUCAAUUCUCUCAAGUGUAAGUGGAAGGUUGAUCCUUCCUUCCAUCAAGACAAAUGCAAUGGAAAACGUCACGUCAUCCAUAAAGUGCUAUCCAUAGAAGUCUUAAUUCUAUCCUCAUGGGAGGGAUAAGAGUAUACAUGGGCAGUUAAUUUUAAAGAUGGAUCUUAUUACGAACUACGUUUGACCCGAAUUUCCAAGAAAGGGAUACGUAGGCGGCCUAUGUCGGCUUUGGUCUACCCCUUAAGAGAAUUUACCCUUCCCUUCUAUGUAUGAACUAUGUGAUGACCUAAAUUCUCAAAAAUGAGAUACGUAGGCAGCUUAUGUCAGCUUUAAUCAACUCAUUAGAUUUUUCUAUAUAUCCAUAGAAUAUCCCUAGCAAUUUUAUAGAAUCUUGGUAUCAAAUUACUCAAGCAGCAAAUGAACUCACAUUCAAGAAAACCAAGCGAAUAUCAUCCUAACUUCCUUCAUCCUCUCUCUAUUUAAAUGCUAAUAAUUCUUUAGGAUUCAUAGUAUUACCAUAUUUCCAUCGCUUUCUUUAAAAGAAGACUUAAGGGACACGAAAGGUAAUAAUAAACAACUUAUUCGCCUAAAAAUCAAGACUCAAUGAAACUGGAAUAAAACUUCAAGCCUUAGCAAUAAUCAGGUUUGAGUAGAGAUUCACAAUUUAAACGACAAUGUGAUUAAGCUAACUACUAAAUGUAAGAACACUAAUCCAAACAAAUUUGACUGGUGAAAGAAAAUCAACAGCCGGCUAUGAAAAAUAACAUUUAAUGCUGAAGUUUAAAAUUCAUCUGAUGACCUCGAAACUAUGUGAAUCAAAAUACAAAGAUGAAAUAAGAAUUACAAACGAUCCCAACAUAUAAUAAUUACAAAACUACGGAGUAGGAGAUGAAGAAGAAAAACGAUAACAAACUAAAAGGUAAAAGUUUUUACCCUUUUAGGGGUAGAAAACCAGAGUACGAGUUUUGUAAAAAAUUCUUACCACCACUACUAAUCGGAUUUCUAAGCUCAAAAAGAGCCUUAUAAGAAUUUUGAUCAAAGUUUUCAAUGACCGAAGAAACUUUUCUCGGCUAAUUUUUAAAAAUUAUUUCAAGACUUUUUUUCUCAAGAUUUUUCCCCUUUUUUGCCUCUCUUUUCAGCUCAACAAAGGAUUUUAUAUAGAAGGAAUUUUGGGGAUGGAUUGUUAUUUUCAUGGCGAUGUGGGAUGAGAAUUUCAAGGGCAAUUUGGGAAUUUAGCUAAGGGAAUUUAAAUUUUAAAAUUGGGAUAGGAUGAGUUGUACGAAAGUCGUACUAUUUGGUACGUUGAGUUGGUGAGAUUUGUUGUUUAGCGUCGAUUUGUAGUUGUUGUUGUUUGGGUCGGGUUUGUUCGAGUAUUGUUGACGUUAAUAUCAGGUCUAUCAUCAUUGUUGGCUGUUGUUGUUGGUUUUUGAUGGGUUCGGGUUGUAGCUGCUGUUACGGGUUGAAGUUGUUGUUGAUUGUUGAAGUUUUUAGAGUUGUUGUACGCGGACUGUCGGUAUUGUUUUUUUAAGAUGCAGCUGAAGGCUGUUGUACUCAUUUUUGUUGAAGAAAGAGGAAUCGGGCCAAAUCAAGAUUGGUUAAAUGGGUUAGUGAGGUAUUUGGCUGAAGGAGUUGGGCCACUUGGUUGGUAAGAAAUUAAAGGGUUAAAAUUGGGCCGAUCUAUUGAGUAGAAUAGGUUACUUUGGAUUAGGAAUUAGUCAAUUUCAUUUAAAUUUUGGCCAAAUGGAAUAUCAUUGGCCAAUUUUAUUACAAUUGUAGCUAAUUUUAUUUUAAUUAUGUCCAACUUUAAUAUAUGACUAAAUUGAAUCACAAUCCAAGAUGUAUUAAAACCCGAUUUAAUUUUGAGUUUCUUGAUUUAAUAAAAAUAAUAAAUAUUUUUUCAAAUAAAUUAUUUUGAGAUAAAAUUAUAUUUGAAUCAAGAUUUCAACCAUUCAAAUCAAUUUUUGACAUAAUCCUUGAUUAAAUAUAACCGUCACUUAAAAUGACAAAAUUACCAAAUCAAUACUUUAGAAAGAUUUUAUAUGGUUAAAAUAAAUGUUAUAAUUUUAUUUAAAAUUGAAGAAAUUCAGAAUUAAACUUAGUUGUAGAGGGCAAAAAUUAGGUGUCAACAACACCUUUAUGAAGGGGUGCACCUUCCUAAACCAUUGCUUCUCUUCAUGAAAGAACACCUUGAUGGAUAUAAUACCUGAUUUUUCCCCAGGGAUCGACAUGAAAUUUGAAUAAAAAAUACUUCUCUUUCCUGAAAAAAUUGUAGUGUGAUUUGCUACCGUUGAAUGCGUUCGUAGUUCGACAGAAUUUGAGGUGCCGCUAUUUUAUCGAAGUGAUUUAUUUUAUCUUGAGAGGAUAUAUUACAUAACCUCAGUCACUUGAGGAAAAUAAUUUUCUUAACGACACACCGUGAAUUCGGUGGACUUGAAUCUUUCUAUUUCAUCUUUUUUUCUUAAAGUUGAUUUUAAUAUUUUUCCAGAAAAUACUUUGAACUUCAUAUUGAUAGUUUUUCAACUUUUUGAAUUUGUGUUUGAAGUUUUUGAAACUUGAUUUUGAUAGUUCAUAGGUUGGUUGAACUUGUGUUGAAGUUAUUAACAUUUGAUUUUGCUAUUUUCCUGAAAAUACUUUGAAUUCAUUUUGUUGAUGUUCAUAAGUUGGGUUGAACUUAUUGUUAAAAGUUCAAAGUCGUAAAUACAGAGUUUAAACUUUAUUUUAUUGUUCAUAUAAGUAUUUGAACAUGUGUUUGAAGUUUUUAUUGAAAAAUAUAAGUUUUACUAAAAGCCCCCCAAAAUAACAAUUAAUACUUGCAUAACUUUAAUCAGUAAUCAAAUUGACCCUAAGGAGGCGUUUAGUAAAAUGUAUUACUAGAAAUAGUCCAUGUAUUAAGUGUGUGAUCAAUGUGUAACUAAUACAUGUAUUAGUUAUACACCCUACAUGAUAUUAUAGGGUGUAUGACUAAUACAUCCCAUUUGAUGAUAUUAGUAAUACAUGAGUUUUAAUAUCAUGGGACUAAUAUGUGUACAUACAAUAAUAUCCCUAAAAUUCUUUCAAGCAUUUUUUUUAUCUUCUUGAUUUUAUUUUUUAUAUUUGUACUGAUAAAUUUGUUUAAAUACGUUUAUUUAUAAAUUUUAUUAUUUAGAGAGAGUUGUUGUUGCUAAAUAAAAUAUAAUAUCAAUCGAAUAUGGAGGGUACACCAUGCUAUCAACGAUUUCGAUAGUGGAACAUCACACCUGAAAUUUAGUAACAAAAUUUUAUUCAUAUUUUAAUUUUUAACUUGACUAAUUUAAUGAACUAGAAAAUCCAACAAAAAUUCAAGGAUAUAAUUGUAAAGGAGAUUUUUGUAGCAUUUUAAAUCAAACGCAAUACAUGGUAUAUCUAAUUUUUAAUACAAUGAAUUAAACACUUAUUAAAAAAUAAUCCAAGCACUACAAUUCCUACAUUACUAAUCCGUGCAUUACUAAUCCCUGCAUUACUAAUUCCUGCAUUACUUUUCUUCGUACUAAAUGACCCCUAUGUGAACUAAUCUAUAUCUAUACUAUAUUAAAAGUGUGAAGAGCCUUAUAAAUAUUAUUUGAACUUUUUUUCCUACAUUAAAAGUCUCUCUUUUAGACAAAAUCGUCUUUUCACCUUUUUUUUUUUUCUAAUUUUCAAUUAUUUUUAUAAAUUUAUAAUUACAAAAAAUAUUUAAUUAUUACCUAAAUCUAGGAUUUCUUUUCAUAUUUUUAGGUGUAAAAAUCCGUUUCGUCCACUGAUAACACAAAAAUUAUGCUUUUUUUUGUGAAAAAAUUAAAGUGUCGUAUUCUUUUGGGUUAGGAUUCUUAUUUUCUUCUUUCUAUCAAUUAGGUUUAGGUUUAAUAAUCUCUUUACAAGCAAUUUUAUUGCAUUCACAACAUGCAAUGCAAUACAAGAUAUCUAUAAGUCAAUCUUUCUCGAGGUAAUUUUCAUCUCUUUUCUUUUUAUGACGUUGAAGUUCUGUGCCUCUUAUUAGUAAAUAACCCAGGAGUGGGGCUAUCUUUGUCCGACCUCUUCAUAAAAAAAUUAUGAUAUAUGACUAGGUCAAAUUUUGAUCUUAUAGAAAUAUAUAGAUAUAAUCAUUGACACCUCUAGGUACAAGUUGAAGCUUCAGUCUAGCUGUUGAUGUGAUGUAGGCCUUCUGGAAGGUCGUGAGUUUCUAGCUUAGGUGGUGAAAUAAAUUUAUUUUUUUGGCUGCACAUCACUUUUUUUAGUUUUAUACACAAUUAGAAAUCUUGAAUCUGACAUUCUUUGUUAGUAGGGGCUUUGAGCUAAAAAUCACAAAAGAGUUUGAAAAUGAGGUGUAGGUGACUCAAGUCUUAAUAAUUGAGUGUAGCUGACAAUUACUUUAUUAUGGAUUAAGAAAGUUGGGUAAGUUUGAGAAUAGUCCACAAGUUUUUAAAUUUACACUUUGAUCCAAAUGUUUACCCAAUAUAACGGGAAACAGAGGACAAAAACGUGUUUCUUUCUCUUCUCAUCCAUUGUUGUUUUAUCUCUCUUACCGAUUUUCGUUGUUCAUUGUUGCUGCUACUUUAUUCAUCAUCUUCUACUUUAUUAUCAUCUUCAUCUUCUUCUUAUUGACCAUUGUUGUUGUUGUUACCGCUACUACUGCUAUUUGACUAAUUAUUUAGGUCAGAUUUUGUUUAAUACAUCACUUGCCACUUUGACAUUACUUCACAGGAGACUUUGGUAAAUCAAAUUAUAAUUUUUAGUUGAAUUUGUCAUAUGAUAACUAUUAUUGUGUUGUUUUUUCAACAAUAGAUUGCACGCAAACAUGAAUGCAACAUAACAGACAUCUGUUUAAAUAAAACAAUCAUUUGUUGCGAAAAAAUAAACUAUCUGUUGCAAUAGAAGACAUAUGUUGGAUUUAUGUUUAUGGUUCUAUAGUGCCGUAACAUGAAUCACAGAUGGUCCAUCUGUUACAACAGACCAGUUAUCUGUUGCAACAGGAUAAAUAUCUAUUGCAAUAUAUUAUUAACAUGUUGCAACAAAACCUGAACUCGAUUCCAACAGAUGUGUCAGUUGUUGCAACAGUGUAAAUAUCUAUUGCAAUAUAUUAUUAACAUGUUGAAACAAAACCUGAACUCGAUUCCAACAGAUGUGUCGGUUAUUACAACAGUGUAAAUAUCUAUUGCAACAGAUUAGUAACUUAUUGCAAUAGAACCUGAAGUCGAUUUCAGCAAAUGUGUCAUCUAUUGCAAUAGGAUAAAUAUUUGUUGUAACAAAUUAAUAACCUAUUGUAAUAGAACCUGAAAUCGAUUCUAACAUAUGCGUCGUCAGUUGCAACAGAUGUAUAGUGUGUUGCAAUAUAUGAUUCACCUGUUAUAAAAGAUGACUCAUCUGUUGAAAUCAACUUCAGGAGCGUAACAUGAAUCCCUACAGGUAAGUAAUCUUUUAUGACUGAUCACUUACUUGUUAAAACAGAUUACACAUCCGUUGGAAUUCAUGUUAUGGCACUAUGAAAUCACUAUUAACUUUUUUUAACAAAUGACUUUAUUUAGGUGCCAUUAAUAGAGGGAUCAAUGCUGAUCGGGGUGGAUUAUCAUGGUCAAUGGAUCGAGAAGAGCAAUCAAUAUUUAUAGAGUUGGAAGGAGGGUGAAAUGCUAGUGACGAUAGCUAUGAAAGUCCAAAGUGAUGUUUUUUAUGAUGAUUUUGUAAACUUAAUUAUCAGCUAUUAUGGACUGAAUUAUCAACCGGAAGAACUCAUCAUCAGCUACAUGCACAACUUCUUUGAAAAUUAGAGGGUACUACCUUUCAAGAUAACCGAUCAGGUUCGGUUACGUUUUUAUCUUAGUUAUUCAUUCAGGUCGGUGUUAAGUGUGUACGUGGUUCAAAAAAUGAGAGAGAAUUAGAACCAGAAUGUAAAAAAAGACCAAAAACAAAACAUCUUUGAUGAUAGGUUGGAUGAUCUAGACAUGAACAUUCUAGAUGAUGAUCAAACACCUACGUCCAUUGAUACAGCCAAUACGGUGGGCAGUUCUUCUCGAUCUACACAGUCUGGCAUUCGUCCAGACGACGAGGCCAAUUUUUACAAGGGAAUGUCAUUCAAGGACAAGAAAGAACUAUCUACUAAUUUGUUUCUUUCUUACUUGAAAAAAAAUUUUAGAAUAAUGAAGGUGAUUAAUUCGAGCAAAGUCUUUUGCUACAAAGGUGCUAAUCCGAACUGCAAGUGGUGGUUGAGAGCGGUGAAGUACGUAAGUUCUGACAGAUUCGUCAUUCAUAAACAAGAAAAGUAUCACAAAUGUGGUUCGGAGCAUAUCUCGAGCCAAAAUCCUCAUGACAUGACAAAGGUCCUCGGUGAAUAUUUCAAGAAUAGAUUUCCCAAUGGCAAAGGCCCUUUUACAAGGGUUAUGGACAAUCAACUCCUUACGAAAUUGGGUAUCUUGGUCAGUUAUUAUAAAAUAUAUACGGCUAGGGGAAUUGACAAGGACUUGGUUAGGAGGACACACGAGCACUGGUAUGCAGUCCUUAAUGCCUAUCGUUACAUGCUUGAGUUCACAAAUCCCGAAAGUAAGACGACAUUGCAUGUUGUUGAAAAUGGAAGGUUCAAGUAAUUUUUUGUAUCCUAUUGUACUUGGAUUCAAGGUUUUCAACAUUUGAGAAAAGGCAUAGCUAUCAGCGGUACCUUCUUAAGGAGCAGGUACAAUGGAGUUAUGCUAUCGGCGGUGGCACAGGAUGCACAGAAUCAUAUAUUUUCUGUCACUUUUUGUGUCGCGGACAAGGAAUAUGAUGCCUCUUAUGGAUAUUUUUAUGAACAACUGAGAAGCCAUAUCGAAGAUACUGAAGAGUUGUGUUUUGUUUUGGAUAGGUAUCCAAGUAUUCCAAAGAUGGGUUCAAUUUUCUUCAGUUAAACUCACUUUGGUUGUUGCAUCAGCCAUCUUGGAAAGAACAUUCAUACCAACUUUCACAAUAAAAGGGUCGUGACCCCUUUUUAUAGAGCAUCUAAAAAAUAUAGUAGAGGAGAUUUUAGACCAUUUCAAUCAAAUAGCGAAUAUGCAUCCCAAGGCAGCAGAACAUCUCGUACAUGUUGGUUUUGAGAGAUGGAGCUGGGCAUUUUGUCCGACAAAUAGGUACAUUCUUAUGAAUUUAAUGUGUUGUUUGAGUUACAAGUUUAGUAUGAUGUCGUACUAAGUGAUUCUUUUGUGUAGGUACAAUUAUAUGACAUUAAACAUAGCUGAAUCGGUGAAUUCAUUGUUUGGUGAUAAAAGAGAAUUUUUCAUCGUGGCUCUGUUUGAAAUAAUAAACAAGAAGUAUGACCAAUUUUUUCAUGAAAGACGUGUGGAGUAUGAGGACCCAGGAACCCCAUUCGUUCUAGAAGCGGAAAAAAUAAUAUCAAAGAACAUCAGUCUGGGAAAUAGGUUAUUAUCUCAUCAAAUAGAAGAUUAAAAGUUCAAUAUCAACGGUCAUGGUGAUAUUGCCAUGAUCGAUCUUAAAAUAAGAUCUUGUACGUGCAGAGUUUUUAACUUGGACAAAAUACCUUGUCCAUAUGCUAUGGAAACCCUUCGAGCUCAAUACAGUGCAAAAAUAUGGAACCAAAUUUAUGAGUACUCUUAUCCAUAUUAUUUGGUGGAAAAAUAUACAAUAGCAUAUAGUGGGCAUAUUACUCCGGUGCCUCUUGAAAAAUCUUGGGUUAUUCCUGCAGAGCUUUUGGGGAGAUUAAUACCUCCUCCAGAUAUUGACCCAAGCACUAUCAAACCGAUAAAAGGGCCAUAUAAGAGGAGGCAUGGAGUCAGAGAAUCAUUUCCAUCAAGAAGAAACAAGUGCUCUGUAUAUAAGAGCGCUGGCUACAAAAGAACUACAUGCUCAGAUCGUAAUCCAUCAUGAACGUUGUAAUUGCAAAAACUUGUGUUGUUGUUUGUUGUGGAACUUUUAAAUAUUUAACUCUUGUUGUGAACGUAAAUGUUAUUAUUUAUUAUAUAAAAUAUCUUUUUUAAUAACUUGUGCAUCAAUAAGAAGAAGAAAAACAUGAACUAAAUACAAUAGACCACAAAAUUAUUUUCAACAGAUUACUCAUCUGUUGCAACAGAUGGACAUUAGCUGGAAGAAAACAACCAGUCCAUUAAACUGGAAUAUGUUUCUCCAAUAGAUGAAAAAUCCAUCACAACAGAUGGAUAAUCUAUCUAAUCGAUCACCAAUCUAUUCCAACAUAUGAUCCAUCUGUUGAAAGAACUCAAAAACCAAAAUUGCUACUGCUACUGGAUUCAAAAUUGCUCUUUACCACCAACCGUUGACAUGUUAACAUGUUUAGAAAAAGAAAUAGACAAUAAAAAUUAAAUAAGAAUUAAAAAGCCAAAGUCGACCAAAAAUAAUUUUUUCAUUAAACAAAAAAAUAAAAUACAUUAGGUAUAAAUCCGAUAUAGAAAAAUUAAAAUACAUACGCUAAAAGAAAAAAUACAUUCUAAUUAUUAUUAUCAUCAUUAUUAUUGCCAGUCGGCCAAUCGUCAACUUGCAGCAGCAGGGCCCUCAUCAGCCUCUGCAUAUCUCUGAACAUCCUUACUCUCAAGGUGACCAACUCCCCCUGCAAGUCGUUAACCUGCCUCUGAAGUUCCCGCACGGUAUCACGUAGAUUAGAAAUAUCCCAAACAGGAUCAACCAUGUCUAGAACACGUAUGAAUUGACAGAAAACAUAAACACAAUAGUAAAGAAAAGAUUUCGAAUGUAAUACAAUGUAUACUACCAACUGAUAGAUUUACACUGAAAAAAACUUACCUCAACGAGAAAGGAAUAUGCUCUUUAAAUAGAAGUGGUUGAAGAUGUAAUACGAAGAGACAAAAUGUAAGAAAUAAAUAAAAGUGAAGUAGAAUGAAGAUUAAGGAGGGACCUAUUUAUAGAGGAUUGAAUCUAAAUGUGUUAACAAUAAAGCACGAUUGUUAAGCUCCACAGUAUUAAUUACAUUCAAACUACUGGUUUUUUGUUUUUGGUGAAAAUUUGCAACUUUUUAUUUUACAUUCAAAAUUCUCACCUUUUCAAAAUGGUUUGAGACUUAAUAACAUCAGUUAUUAUUGAGCUGUUUCAACAGAUCAUCCAUCUGUCACAAUAGAUAACCCACUAGCGCAACAGAUUUAUCAUCUGUUGUAACAGAUGGUCCGUAUGUGCAAUAGAUGAGACAUCUGUUGCAACAUAUGUAUUAUUUGUUGCGACAGAUGAACCAUCUGUUGGAGGAGAUAUUUUUAUUUCUUCUAACAGCUGAUUCAUCAUUUAUAACAGAUGGGAGAUUUGAUUUAUCAACUAUUUUGAAUGUGUUAGACAAAAAGUGACGACUGUUCACCUCUUUUUAAAUAGUUCAUCACAUACCUUAAUUAAUUCAAAUUGGUGACUUAUUAUACAAACAUAUUUAAAAACAAAAAAGGUGAAAAUUCACGACUUGUAGCACUUGUUUUUUCUUAAUGGGAAAGUAGUCAUCUGACAUUGAAGAUUCUUACCCUUUGAGCCUCCGUAGUCUUGUGCACUACUUAACGAUGGAAAGUGAAGAAUAAACUCUGUCUGACAUUAAUAGGGUAGGAAGAAUAAGGUGCGUCUAGAUGAAUGGAUCUACUUUCAUGCAUGGGAGUUAUGUAUUAUUGAUCAGGCUAUCGAGACAGACACACAUAAAAUACAAUAAUUUUGUGAAUGCAAUUUUUUACUAAUUAGACAUUGAUCCUUCAAACAAGAUCCUACAUUUUACAGUUUAGUUUGAUAGAUUCGAAUUGAAAGGCUGAAGGAUUCCAAGACGAUGGAGUCAAUACCCUAUUAUAAUUUAAUGAAGGUUUUGUUCAUGCUUAUGUGUCAAGAUUGGAGAAGGGUUUAAGUUUUUGGCAACAAUGUAAAUAUCCAAUAGUGAUUGGACCAAUUUUAAUGGUGCAAUGGACUUUUGAAAGGCCUCUGAAGCCUCGCACUGCAGCAAACAUGAAUGGAAAACCAAUAGAAAUUACUCUGGUCCAAAUUUUAUAGAUGGAUUGCUCGAGGAGACUGUUAUACAGCAGAAAGUGCUUGGGAGAAAACCUUUGCAGGAAAGGAGAGGAGGAGAAGACCAUAUAUCAUCUCAGACCUUGUUUAAGAGAAAACACAGGGAAGCAAGUAAGGAACUUAUAGCGAAUCUGGCCAAUGAAAUUGACUUAAGAGAUGAAAAAACUAAAAGAGCUUAAAAUGUGGAAGUGUAUCCAAAUAUUAAAAUCCACCAGUCGUUCUUGAAAAAGAAAAAUGCUCAAGAGGACUGGAGCUCGACAAUUUGCUAGGUACUGCGACUAGCGAGCGUGGCCUCAAUAAAGACCCAUAAAGUGCAGGACUAGAAAUCUAAUGAAACAGUUUAGUGAGCACAGAGGAUUGGUAAGAUUUUCAUUCAAGAAUUAAACCUGAACCAACAAGUCCAGAAGUAAAAAUAAGGGAAGCCAAGGAGUCAAUUUCUGAAGUCUAACUAGUAUCCCAUACAUUUUGUUUGUGGUUCUGAUUAGGUCAAUGGCAGUAGAAAAAAAAGGGUCUGAAGUUGGGCAGAAAUCCCAUGUCUAUUGUUUCCACUGCCGUUGACUAGACUAGAGCCAUAAACAGGAGGCAUAGGAUGCAAGUUUAAAUUGAGAAAUUGACACCUUGGCUUGAUCCCUUAUUUUUACUUCAGGAGUUGUUGGUUCAGGUUUCAUUCCUGACCGACAAUAUUACCACCAUCGAUGCUCGUGAAGUUGAAACCUUAGAGUUUUGGUCCUAUAUUUUGUGGGUCUUUAUUCAGGUCACGAGAGCUAGUUGCAAUCCCCUAAUAAAGUGUACAACUCCAAUCCACUUCAACAUUUUUCUUUUCAAAAUGGACUAAUGGAUUUUCAUUUUUGAAUACACUUUCACAUUUGCAGCUCAUUCAAUUUUUUCAUUUUUCAUGUCAAUUUCAUCAUCCAGUUACGCUACACUUUCCUUUCUACCCUUUGUUUCUUCUUUAAUAAGGUCUAAGUUGAUAUAUGAUCUUCUCCACCUCCCCCUUCCUGCACGGGUAUUCUUCCAAUGACCUUCUGUCGUAUAAUAGUCUACUCGAGCAACCCAUCCAUAUAAAUUUAGACUAUAGCAAUAACUAUAUUCAUUUUCAUUCUCUUUUGCAGUAGUGUGAGGCUUCGGAGGCCUUUCAAAAGUCCAUUGAACCCUUAAAAUCAGUCCAAUCACUAAUUGAAUGUUUACACUACCACCCAAAACCUGAAUCCUUCUCCAAAUUUAACACAUAAACACUAGCAAAAUCUUUAUUAAACCAUAACAGGGUAUCGACACAACCUACUUGGUCCCUCAGCCUUACCAGUUCGAACCUAACAAUCUUAACUGUAAAAUGUCAUAUCUUGUUUGAAAGAUUAACGCUUAAUAGGUAAAGAACCAACAUUCACAAAAUUUUCAUGAUAGGUUGAUCAGUAAUACAUACCUCCCACAUACCAUCUGCAAGUAGCUUAUUCCUCCGAACCCAUCUUUUCUCGAGCCUUUAAUGCUGCUCGGGAAAAAGUUGAUCCAGUUUUACUUUCUUUAUCUUCAAACAAGAGAAAAACAUUUGAUGUCAAACAAGAGAAGAACAAAAAGAACAGAUGACCCAUCUGAUGUAACAGAUUCCCCAUCUAUUCAAUCGAUAAGUCGCAUCUAUUGUAAUAUGCGACACAUCUGUGGCAACAGAUUAUGACAUGUUGAAAUAAAUGGGUCUUCUGUUGGAAUAAAUCAAACAAGCGUUGCAACUGAUUUGAUUUAUUCCAAUAGUUGCUUCGACUGUUUCAACAACUGAUUCAUCAGUUGAAACAGUUGAGGAAACUAUUACAACACCACCAAUAAUAGUAUCAACAAAAAAUACAACCCCAUAAGUUCCAAAACUAUCAACAACACAAACACCACAUGUUUCAACAACACCAACACCCACAACAACAGCACCACCAAAGUAACAAACAAAAGACAUAGAAAUGAUAUUAACAACAAGGUUUUUUAAGUUCUCCCAACAGAUAACUUUUUUUUGCAUAUUUUAAUAAAAACAACGAUUCGUUCAUUCAAGACUUAAAAGUUACCUUUCCUUUAAUUUUCUCAAUAAAUAGGAAAUUGGUAAUGGGUAAAUCAAUAAUAACAAUAGAUGUAAAUAUCAAAUUUAAAUAACAGACAAAGAAAAAGACAAGAAGGAAAGUACAAUAGUGAACCAUACCUACAAUGUAAAAAAAGAAAAGGGAUCAGAACACCCAUUUUAGUCGAGAAAAGAUAUUGAUCGAUUGAGAUCCGAAAGUAUCCUCAUACAAAAGAGGAGAGAAAAAAAGAAGACGAUUGUGAUUAUCCCAAAAAGGAGAGAAAGAGAAUUCUGAAUAAUGAAGAGUUACUUAAUGAUUAAAGGAGAGAGAAUUCUAGAUAUGGUUUUAAAUAUUCAUUAAUAACUUUGAGGGGCACGAGGAGAUGGUGACAUUCAAAAGACAAGAUAAGACUACUCAAUGAGGAGAUUUUUGAGUUAUCCAAGUUAUAUUUUUUACCGCAUUAGUAUUUUAUCUUUUUUCUUUGUCUCGGAUAGAAAAUUAGGAAAUUGCUUUAAAAUUAAAAAAAAAGGUAAUUCAUACUUUGCAAUAGAUGACAUUUCCGUUUGAAAAUUUCCAAUAGCUCAGUAAUUUGUCGCAAUCGAUGGAAACACCAAUUUGAUAAUUUACAACAGAUAGUUAAUCUGUUGCAACAGAUGACUUAAUCUAUUUGAUAAAUUCCAACAUAUAAGUCAUCUGUUACAACAGGUUGACCAUUUGUUUUUAUACAAUUUUAAGUGAGUUCAUAUGCUCAACUACAACUUCAAUUGAUUAAUCUAGAACUAGGGAUGAGUUCAUAGGGUCAGCUACAACUUCAAUUGAAACUUUAGCAAUUACAUGAUGUUGGUAUUGUGUUUCUCCCAACCUGAGUCAUCGAUCGAUCACUCUGAGUUGAAAUAAUUCUUAUUACCUCAUUGUCAAGCUAAUACCUAAAUUGUUUUAAAAUAGAAGUAGGGGUGAGUUCAUAGGGUUAACUAUAACUUCAAUUGAGUCUUCUGGCAAUUGUAUGAUGUUGGUAUUGCAUUUUUUCUGACCUGAGUCAUUGAUCGAUCACUCUGAGUUGAAAUGAUUCUUAUUACCUCAUUAUCAAGCUAAUACCUAAAUUGAUUAACCUAGAACUAGGGGUAAGUUCAUAAGGUCAACUACAACUUCAAUUGAGUCUUUCGAAAUUACAUGAUAUUGGUAUUGCGUUCCUCCUGACCUAAGUCAUCAAUCGAUCACUCUGAGUUGAAACGAUUCUUAUUACCUCAUUGUCAAGCUAAUACCUAAAUUUUCUUAAAAUAGAACUAGAGAUGAGUUAAUAGGGUCAACUACAACUUCAUUUGAGUCUUUUGGCAAUUGCAUGAUAUUGGUAUUGCAUUCCUCCCGACCUGAGUCAUCGAUCGAUCACUUUAAGUUGAAACGAUUCUUAUUACCUCAUUGUCGAGCUAAUACCUAAAUUUAUUUAAAAUAAAAAAAGAUCUUAAAACAUAAAAGUCAUACUUUGCAAUAGAUGAUAAUUUUUGUUUAAAAAUUUCCAACGGCUCGGUCAUCUAUCACAACAGAUGGCAAUGCCUAUUGGAUAAUUUAUAAUAGAUAGUUACUUGGUUACAACAGAUGACUUAAUCUAUUUGAUAAAUUCCAAAAGAUAAGUCAUCUGUUGCAACAGGUUGAACAUUUGUUUUUAUACAUUUUUAAUUGAGUUCAUCUGCUCAACUAUAACUUUAAUUGAUUAAGCUAGAACUAGGGUGAGUUAUAGGGUUAACUACAACUUCAAUUGAGGCUUUGGCAAUUGCUUAAUAUUGGUAUUGCAUUCCUCCAGACCCGAUUCAUCAAUUGAUCACUCUGAGUUGAAAUGAUUAUUAUUACCUUAUUGUCAAGCCAAUACAUAAAUUGAUUAAGCUAGAACUAGGGGUAAGUUCAUAGGGUCAAUUACAACUUCAAUUGACUCUAUGGCAAUUGCAUUAUGUUGGUAUUUUAUUUCUCCCGACCUGAGUCAUCGAUCGAUCACUCUGAGUUAAAAACAAUUCUUAUUACCUCAUUGUCAAGCUAAUACCUAAAUUGUUUUAAAAUAGAAGUAGGGGUGAGUUUAUAGGGUUAACUACAACUUCAAUUGAGCCUUUUGGCAAUUGUAUGAUGUUGGUAUUGUGUUUCUCCCGACCUGAGUUAUUGAUCGAUCACUCUGAGUUGAAAUGAUUCUUAUUACCUCAUUGUCAAGCUAAUACCUCAAUUUAUUAAGCUAGAAUUAGGGGUGAGUUCAUAGGGUCAACUACAACUUCAGUUGAGUCUUUUGUCAAUUGCAUGAUGUCGGUAUUGUAUUUCUCCCGAUCUGAGUCGUCGAUCAAUCACUCUAAGUUAAAACAAUUCUUAUUACCUCAUUGUCAAGCUAAUACCUAAAUUACUUUAAAAUAAAGAAAGGAUCUUAAAAUAUAUAAGUCAUACUUUGCGAUAUAUGACAAUGUCUCUUUGAAAAUUUCCAACAACUCGGUUAUCUGUCGCAAUAGAUGGCAACGCCUAUUUGAUAAUUUAUAACAGAUAGUUAAUCUAUUACAGCAGAUGAAUUAAUCUGUUUGAUAAAUUUUGAAAGAUAAGUCAUCUGUUGCUACAAGUUGAACAUUUAUUUUUAUAGAUUUUUAAUUGAGUUCAUCUGUUCAACUACAACUACAAUUGAUUAAGCUAGAAUUAGGGGUGAGUUCAUAGGGUCAACUACAACUUCAAUUGAGUCUUUGACAAUUGCAUGAUGUUGGUAUUGCGUUUCUCCCAACCUGAGUCAUCAAUCGAUCACUCUGAGUUGAAACUAUUCUUAUUACCUCAUUAUCAAGCUAAUACCUAAAUUGAUUAAGCUAGAACUAGGAGUGAGUUCAUAGGGUCAACUACAACUUCAAUUAAGUCUUUGGCAAUAGGAUGAUAUUGGUAUUGCGUUCCUCCCGACAUGGGUCAUCGAUCGAUCACUUCGAGUUGAAAUGAUUUUUAUUUUCUCAUUGUCAAGCUAAUACCUUAAUUGAUUAAGCUAGAACUAGGGGUGAGUUCAUAGGGUCAACUACAACUUCAAUUGAGUCUUUUGAAAAUUGCAUGAUGUUGGUAUUGUGUUCCUCCCGACCUGAAUUGUCGAUUUAUCACUCUGAGUUAAAACGAUUCUUAUUACUUCAUUGUCAAGAUAAUACCUAAAUUGCUUAAGCUAGAAUUAGGAGUAAGUUCAUAGGAUCAACUACAACUGCAAUUGAGUUUUUUGACAAUUGUAUGAUGAGACGGGUAAAAAUUACGCAUAUCUUUUGAAAUUUUAAAAAAUAAUUAAGAUCAAUUCAGACCAAAUUAGCAUUUUCAAAACUUUCCAUUCUUUUCAAAAAUACAAAUCAACCCAUACAAAUCAUCCAUUUGUGGGAAAAACAUUUCAUUAUUUCAAAUCUCAAGUUCUCACUCUUUUCUCUCUCUCAACAAUACAGACAAUAACUAAUCAACAAAUUGCUCAACCCCUCACAAUAGAUUGAUUUUAUUCCUAUUUCCAACCACAUAGGUGUUAUUUUUUACUUUAUUCUUGCUUGUAUUCAUCGUUUUCUCCAUCUUCGUAGGUAGCAGAGUUUGAGAAUAAUUCUAUAUUUGUUAUUUUUUCUAAAAAUUAGGGCUUUUAAGUUAAUAAUAAAAAAUAAGACUUUUAGUUGUAUUAUCUUCGAGAAUGGGUUUACUAUUUUUAUUUUUGAUGGUAAAAUUGUAGGAGGAACCCGAGAAAAUCCUAGUUUUUAUUGCAGUGUUUCGUUGACUGACAUGGUAAUGUUGGAUGGUGUUUGUGGUGUUGGUGGUCGUGGUGGUGGUACUGGUGGUAUUUGUGGUGGCUGUUGAUAGUGGUGUUGGUGCCAUUGGUUGGUGGUGUUUGUGGCGGUUAUUGGUGGUGUCAGUAUUGGUGGUGUUUGUAAUGUAUUUUUUAAAAUUUAUGGAUACAUCAAUUGUAAUGUAAUUUUUAUUUUUUUGUUGUUUUUAGGUAAAAUAUAUCUCCUAAAAGAAAAGAAAGUAAAAGUGGAUCAACUUCUGACUACCUAACAAAAAAGGCUACAAUACAGAGGGAUCCAGAGGAGCUUCCUGAACAAUAUCAGUCAGAGAAAAGCGAAGCUGAGGAAAGUUAUGAAAACAAUGCUGAGGGAGGUGGACAAAGGUGUGUAGAUGGUGAUGAGAAAAAUGAAAGUGAAGAGGAUGAAGGAGAAGAUAAACAAGAAGGGGAGGGAGAAGAAAGUGAGAAAGAGAAUAAUAAUGCCUCACCAAUGGGGCGUGAAUUAAUAUCGAAAUCCCAGCAUGAGGCUGUUAAAACUAGUAGUAUUAACAGGUUUCAAGUUGUGAUGCCGAUAGAUGAACCUUCAGAACUAACUGGGGAUCUUGUACUCAAAUGUAAGUUGGGGAAACCUUUUGAUGAAUUUAGGAAUGUUAUGAAGAACGAAUACAUAGACAAACUUUUUAAGAAGAGCUUCUUUGGACAUUUUUUAAGCUGCCUAAGGACCACACUGCCCGUUUCCAAAUAAGCAUGGUAUAUGAUCUUCUCAAGCAUAGGUUCAAGUACGUGGGGGAUGAUAAAGAUUCAAAGGAGGGGAAAAAUGGAUGAAAUCUGGAUCAACUACUGUGGCAUGUCGGGUUGUUUUAGAGUUUGCCAUAGUGAUGGGCUUGAGAUGUGAUUGUCCAGAAAAACCUCUUACCAAGGAAACACCAUGCCAAAGGUCCAAGGCAAGCAGGACAGCCAAACCACCACCAUCAAAUAGUGGUAUGACAUUGUCCCACGACCACCCACCAAAACCAGACCAUCCACCAAAACCAACAAACACAAGAAAAAAAUAGAUGGGUUGUUGGACAUUGCUAGACGUGAGUGCGAAGCCAAUAAUUUGAUAAAACAUCUCAAGGAUAAAACCAUACCAAAGAAGUACAGGGAGCAGUUAUUCUUAGUUUGAUUUGCCCAUUCCGUUAUAUUGGCAAGAGACGUCAACAAAUUUAUAGAAGAUGAUUUGUUGAAGCUUGCUAAGGAUUUUGAGAAAUUCAACAAUUAUCCCUGGGGUUAUGAUAGCUACUACUUGACUGUCAAAUAUUUAUUGACAAAGCUAUCUCCAAAGACAAUCACAUUAUACAGCUUUCCUUGGGAUUUCAUGGUAAAUUUAAUCACUAUUUGUUUACUCAUCCAUUAAUUUAUAUUGAUUAAUUAUUAUGACUUUUUUUUGCUUGCCUCCUAUUUACAUAUUUUAGGCUUGGAUAUUUGAAGUAAUUCCUCACCUCCGAAAGAAGGUCAAGGAUGACUCGGAUGAGGUUUCUCUUUAACCCUCCGAAUGAUGCAGUACGUCUUUUUUCAAGUAAAAUAAUUUGACUUAAAGAAAUAAAUUGAAACAGAUGUGCCAUCUAUUGCGACAGAUGGGUCGUCUGUUGAAAUAAAUUACCCAUCUACUAUAACUGGUGCAAUAUAUGGGUAAUCUAUUGUGACAGAUGAUCCAUAUUUCACAAUAGAUUAACCAUCUGUUGCUCUAGUUCUCUGAACCUGGCUCAACAGAUUACCCAUCUACUGUAAAUUAUACAAUAGAUGGGUAAUUUGAUGCAGUAUAUUGUUAAUUUGUUGUGACAUACAGAUUAGCUAUUACGACAAAUAAAUCAUCUGCUGCAUAAGUUCCAUCCACUGCAACUGGUACAAUAGAUGGGUAAUAUGUUGCGAAAGAUGAUUCAUAUUUCGCAUUAGAUUACCCAUCUGUUGCUAUGGUUCUAUGAAUCUGACUCACAGAUUACCCAUAUACUACAAAUUAUGCAACAUAUGGGCAAUCUGAUGCAACAUAUUGUUAAUCUGUUACAAUAGUCAGAUCAGCUAUUGCGACAGAAAGAUCAUCUAUUGCAUAAGUUGUCUAUGUUAACAUGUAACCCAACUGACUAUAAAUUAUUAUAUGGUUUAAAUGUACUUGUUUUUUUAUAGGUUGUGCAUCCAUGGAUUGUGCCUACUGAGCAAGAGUUAAGGAUGAAUUCUUUUAUUACUCUAGGUAUUAUUAAUACAAUAGCAGACCCAACAGUGGAGUUAAUAAAGAAGGAAUUGGUUAUUCAACAGCCAUAAGAAGAGUAGUUAGGAAAGGUCAGCCUAGUGUUGAGGAUAUUUAUGACCAACCUACUGCAACAAAUCCGGGUUCUUCUUCUGGGGUGUUGUUGGUGGAGUUGUUGAUGUUGGUGGCAGGCAUUCUGAUGUGCUGCCAGUCGUGAUGUUGAGCAUAUUGAUGCUGAAGAAAAAAUAAAUAUGUUUGAAAAUACCCCUUUCACAGGUCCCUUUCACCCCUCUUCACCCUCAUGUUCUCGUUGCAAAUGCGAAGAGUGCAAGGACAGUAAGGAUAAACUCUUUGAAAAAGUAGAGUCUAUUUUUAAAUCUAUCGAGGAAUUGAAAUCCAAGAGGGGUAUCAUACCAUCCAAGAAGGCGAAGAAGCCAUAACCACCUACAGUGGCGGUUAGGAGGAAGAAAAGAACAAUUAGCCAAGUACUCUCUAAUCAAAAAUCCAAAAAAAUUGCAACUCUUUCCUCUUCAAAAGUUGUUUAAAGAAGAGGGAUUUGCGACGGUCCAAGAAUGCCAAGCAAAGCGCACAAGAUUACCCCAUCCAUACCCUUUCCGCCUAAGACUUUAGAAGUAUGACAGAUAUGCGUACGCUGUACGUGGAUAGGGUAAGUUUACUUUUCCUAACCUAACCUUCUAAUCUACUCCAUGAAGAAUAAGCUAUGUGAUAGAUGUGUCAUUUGUUACAACAUAUGUAUAUUCUGGUGCAACUUGUGGAGGUUCUGUUGCAACAUAUUACCCAUCUCUUGCAUAAGUUGCGUUAGAUGGGUAAUUUAUAAACAGAAUCAGAGAACCAUGUGCAACAGAUGGACCAUCCGUUGUAUUUUUCCACUAUGUUUUCCUUUUUUAUAAUUACUAACCUAUUUAAAAAUUGACUUUUUAUAUCUCAGUAUGUUGAAGAUAUUCUCUGCCUCAUGAAGGGCAGCCAAUUAGCGUACCCAGAAGCUUAUGCUGCUGCUGAUAGGAUAAUAGACUUUGACUUUUACAAGAAUAUCAAAGAUAGGUACGAUGAUCUUAGUAAGCUAGAGCCAACUCUCGGUGGCGCGGGAUUUGAUUCGUUACUUUUUGAGUUCCAAUGGGAUGAAGAAAUGAUAAAAUAUGUUAGAGGAGAGAGGUCAAAUCCACACGACAAGAGCUGAACCGAGGCAAAGAGGAUUCUUAGAGUCAUGAACGUGGAUGACAUACAUUAUCAGGCUGUUGAGAUACUACUCGAGGAGGGAAAGAUCAAGGCUUAUGACUGUAACUUCCCUCCCUUGGUUGAGGCUAAUUUUUUUACCCACAAGCAGCCACUGUUGGAUUUGUUCCCCAUCUUGUUGAGGCAGAGUAAACUGAUGGAUCAUUUGCCAAUGAAAGUGUUGACGAAGCAACCAUGGGAUUUUAAAGGUUGAAACAAGGACAUGGACCUUUCAAAAAAUAAAACCACUGCCGCGUACGGGUCGCACGCUCUUGCACACAUCGUACGUUUGCUGACCGGCACAAAAAAUGGCCAAACCAAUGACCUUUUUAUGUUACAACUCUCUGGAAAACAUGCAAGAGGUCUGGACUUAUGGGGUACUAAUUAGACUCUUGUAGCCUGUGUAUAAAGAAGAGCUUGUGAAAUAAUAAUUUUGUUACUUCAAGUCACUUCACUUUACAUAAUUUACAUACAUGUAGUGCCAAUGCAAUAGAAUGUCCAUCUGUUAUAAAAUAUAUUCUAUCUAUUCUGACAAAUAGUUUAGUGUUGCAAUAGGUUGGUCAUCUACUGCAUUAUGCCGAUGUUUCUAUCUAAGUCUUAUCUGUUGCAAUAUUGGGAAGACCUGUUUGAUCAUUUCCAACAGAUGACCUACAUGUUGCAACAUAUGUCUAAAUCUAUUUGAUAUUUUUCCAACAUUUACGCUUGAGUAUCCAUGUGCUCAACAACACCAAAGCAGUAACAAAUACAAAUACACCAGCAUGAAAAUUUCAGUAAUUAGUCUUGAAUAUCCAUGUGUCCAACAACACCAAUCUAGUAGCAAUAACGCCAACAAUGUAGUAUCUUCUUGCUCGAUUUUAUUUCUCUUCAAAAGCCUUAACUUUCUUUAACAAACCCCAUAUUACAUGAUUUGCUUGUGAAGGGGGUCGUUCUUCAUACCAAUCAAAGUAAUCACAUCCACCCAACUUCUACAAAAAAUAAGACCACAAUUUCAAAAUAAUUAUAAGUCAAUAAUUAAUCAACUAAUUAAAUAAAAAAAUAUUACCUUUAAAUUUUACAAGUAAAAAACCUAUGACCUGGAUUUUGUUGAGUCCAAAAAGUUUUCAAUAGAGUUUCAUGACCACACUUAUAAUAUCAAAAAUUUUUAUCACAAAAAAAGUGGAAGAUGAGCUCGACAUUAUUAAGCUUAGUUGGAAAAAAUAAAAAAAAUAUGAAAAAAACAAAUACAAAUAAUUUGUAGAAUUUGGAUAGAGAAAAAAAGAUGAUGAAGAAGAAGAUUUGGGUAUUUAAGGUUAAAUUUUAGGAAGAAGAUGAAUAUAUAGGACAAUGGAGGGAAAAUAACCGUUGAGGGCCAAAUUAGACACCAAGUCAGCAAAAAUAGGGGUUCAACGAGCCUUGGCUGCAUGAAUUACACGCGAGCUGCCAACAGGGCAAAAAGUGCCAAACUGACACUCUUGGUGUCUAUUUUAUUUUAGGUGUAUAAAAUGAACACUAUCUAGGUGUUUAAAAUUAACACUGUCUACUUGAUACCUCUUUACUUUAGGUGUUUAAAAUGAACACUGUCGAUAGGUUUCACCUUUUUUAUUUCAAGUCACUUCAUUUACAUGUAGUGGUAAUUUUUUUAUGUCUAGUGAAAGUUGAAUUUUUAUAAUGCAAUAGAUUGUCCAUCUGCUGUAACAAAUAUUCUACCUGUUCUGACAGAUAGUUUAUCUGUUGUAGGUUGGUCAUUUGUUGCAUUAUGUUGAUAUUUCUAUCUAAGUCUAUCUGUUGCAAUUGUGGAAAGACCUAUUAGAUAAUUUUCAAUAGAUUACCUACCUAUUGCAACAUAUGUAUAAAUUUGUUUGAUAUUUUCCAACUGAUAUGUCCUCUAUUGCAACAUCUACCUUAUCCAUUGCAAUAUUUGAGUCUAGUAUUCUAUUUUAACUAAUAAGUUUAAAUCUAAGGAUAAAAUAAAUUCAUAGAUAAAAUAAAAUAAAUUGAAGCCUUCAGAAAUUACUAGAAAUAAAUCAACAAAUAAAUGAAAUGUAAAAAAAAUUGUUAUGGGUACAAAUCUCAACAAAUAAAUCAACAAUUUAAGUUUUGAUGUUAAUAAUUUUUAAGGAGGGGUGAGGUUAUUACUUUGACAGACUCGAGCUAUAAAGAUCUACUCAAUAUGAAAAAGUUGUUCUACAUCCGGUGCUAUGAAAUUCGACUUUGGUUUUCGUGGAUCUUUAAUGUCGCUUGCGUACGGUUUAUGCGCUUUCUGUUCUCCGUAUUUUCAUGCAAAGAAUAGCAUAUUGUCAAUGUUGUUCAACAGUAGAUUCUACAGUGACAUCCACCUGGAAAGCCAGAAUUGGUCAAUGCUAAUCACGGAGACACAAAAAAAUAGAAAAGGAUAACUUAUCUGUUUUAGCAAAUCAAACAGGUACUUCUCCUAUUUUAAAUUAUCCUAAAUAGAUUAUAUUUCUAUUAAAAUAGAUGGAUCAACUGUUGGGACAAAUUAUAACAUGAGGAAGACCUGUAUGAUAAUUUCUAACAGAUGAACCAUCUGUUGCAAUAUAUAACUCAAAUGUUUGAAAAAAUUAAAACGGUAGAAAGUCUUAAUUUGAUUAUCCCAAUAGAUGACCCAUCCAUUGCAGCAGAUAUGUCAUCUGUUGGUACAAAUAAAAAUGGUACAUAGAGCUGUUUGACUUGCUAAAAUAGAUGAGACAUAUGUUGCAAUAGAUACCGUAUCUGAUGCAACAUGUUAUUAAACUAUUACAACAGAUGUAUAUAUCUGUUUGAUAAUUUUCAAUAGAUGUGUCUGUUUGUUAAUUGGAAUAAACGAUAUAUAUUCAUCUUCUUCAGUUUGUGCUGCUCUCCUUCGGCCAUUGUACAUUGCUCAGUAGUGCAACACACGAACAGAAGAGUUGCAAUUUCACUUUCUUGGAUGCUUGAUAAUGCCUUGGAAAUUACUUUUCUUCUCCUCUUAGCCUUAAUCUCAAAUGGAGUGGAUGAAUAUAAAAUUAUUUUUGAUGGAAUGACACCCCUCUUAGAUGUCAAUUCCUUUACAGAAGUAGUUAAUGCAUUAAUAGCAUUAAUCACUACAUCAUAUUUUGCGUUGUAGUCUUGACAUUUGCAUGCAAAACAUUCGCUAUGAGAGGCAAAAUCUGUAUAACCAGUAUGAUUAUACUCAUAAUAGUUUGUUUUAGAAACUGUAAGAGGAGUAUCAUUAGCACCAGCAGCAGCACCACUACUACCACCAAUAGCUCCAUCACCACUAAGAUCAUCUAUAACAAGAAGCCCACACUCCAAAAUUAUUUUUCUUGUGAUAGUUGUUACUCCAAAUAAUUCCAUUUUUAUUCUUUCAAUGACCUUAAGGUUCGAUAAAGUUUGCACAGACCGUAAAAUAAGAAAAAAUGACAUCGUCAACUCUCGAUUGGUCGGAAUAAGCGAUGGAUGCAUAAUCUAACAUAAAUCAUUACAUAUAUUAGAUUGAUGAUUUGAUCAUUCAAAAAAAUUAUUAAUUAAAAUAAAAACUUAAUUAUAAUUAUACUUACUGCACCCUUCAGGGGGUUGAAGAGAUCAAGAAAUUUUGCAUUUUUAUUAGUUUUUACCGACAACCAUCUCAAGAUUCUUGGACAGGAAACUUUUUUCUGGUAGUUCACUUGUUGUCUCAAAUAAGGAAUGACUUCAAACCGCCAAGCCUAUAAAAUAAUGCCAAUAAAUCAAAACCAUUAUUGGAUAAAAAAAUGAAUCAUAUCAUAAAAAAAAUAUUUCCCAUGAAAGACCAUAGAAAGCCAUAUAAGUUGAUUGUCUUUGGCGUUAAUGGAGUCAACAAAUAUUUGACAGUCAUUUUGAAGCUUUCAUAACCCUAAGAAUAGUUGUUAAAUGCCUCAAGAUCCUCGAAGAACUUUAUUUAGUGUAGUUACUUAAAAGUGGUUAAGUAUAGUGACUUGAAGUGAAUGAUUAAGUGUAGUGACUUGAAAAUGAUUAAGUAUAGUUAUUUGAAAUGUGAAGUAGUUACUUGAAAACGGUUAAGUACAGUGACUUGAAAUGUAAAUUAAUUAUUUGAAAAUGGUUAAGUGUAGUGACUUGCAACGUGAAUUAGUUAUUUGAAAAUGGUUAAGUGUAGUGACUUGAAAUGUCUACUAUUUAUUUAAAAAUGGUUAAGUGUAGUGACUUGAAAUGUGUACUAGUGACUUGAAAAUAGUUAAGUGUAGUAACUUCAAAAUGGUUAAGUAUAGUGACUUGAAAUGUCAAUCAACUAUUUGAAAAUGGUUUGAGUGUAGUAACUUGAAAUGUGUACUAGUGAAUAAGUUAUUUGAAAAUUAUUAAGUGUAGUGACUUGAAAAUGAUUAAGUGUAGUUACUUGAAAUUACGAACUUGUGAUUGAUCUAUUUGUAUUUAUCGUGAUGUUUUUUAGUUGUACGCAGAUAUAAAUAUAAUAAGGACUGAAAGUUUAUCUGAUUGGUUUUUAUACUUUGCAUUUUUAUGUAGCCAAGUGAUGCGGCUAAUGGACCCAUUUCGCCCAUGGAUGCAAGAAGACCAUGUGAUGAUAGUGAUCCUAAUGACAGUCGCUGUAAAUUGUCUUGAAUAUUCAAUUAUGAUGAUAUAAUUGUAUAGUUGGAGUGAAUCUUAGAACAUUCAAGGUUUUGUGUUUAAAUUUGAUUUUGAAAUUUGAAGAUACUAUUUAAUGUUGAAAAUUUGGAGUUUGAAGAUGCUAAUGUUGAAAAUUUAAUUUCGAAGUUUAAUGUUCAAUGUAUUUUUGAGAUGCUUGUGAAUUAUAAUGUUUCAUUAGUCAUGUUGUGUUAAUGAUGUAUGAAUUAAAUAAAUAUUGGAUUGUAGGUUAUCCUUAAAGAAACAAUUAAAUUUGAGCUAAAAUUAGAAUUUAUAAUUUGUUAUUGAAAACUAAUGGGUCUCACUAUUUAUUUUAAAAAAAAAUUUACGGAGGUUUUAAACCGCCGCAAUUUUGAAAUAAAAAUUUAUUAUAAAAAGAAUUAAAUUUAGAGUAAUGGAGGUCUCAACCGCUGCAAAAUAACCUCCGCAAAUUAAUUAUGAGGGGUAAAAAAAAUUGCCACAAAUUAUUUGUGACGGCUCAUAUUGUGAUUUGUGGGGGUUUAAAACCCACGCAAACCUUAAAAUUAACCCCCACAAUUUGAUCUAUUUUUUUUGUAGUGAAUGCAUUAUUAAAAAGGAAUAACAGUAAAUCUAACAGACAAAACAGUAAAAUAUAAUUCCAACAUAUCACACAUAUAUUGCACCAGGUAGGUUAUCUGUUGCACCAAAUAACUAACUUGUUGCAACGGAUGAGUAAUCUGUUGCACAAUACAAAACAUAUCACUCAUCUGUUGAGACAAAUGAAUGGUCUGUGCAACAGAUCACACAUCUGUGUGUGAUCUGUUGGAAUAGUUAGCAACAGUCAAUAUUGUUUAGAUUUCUUCUAACAGAAGGGUCAUCUAUCGCGACAGAUGAAUGGUCAAUUGGAAAAAUCAAGUCUUGGACAUGUCCCGUUGGAAUAGUUGAUAGGAUUUUAUCCAACAGAAGGUUCAUCUGUUGCAUCAGAUUUUUAAUUUCAUGGUUUCUCUAUUGCAUCAGUUUUUUAAUUCGAUAGUUCCUCUGUUGCAUCCGAUACAUCUAUUGCGUCAGAUGGUUAAUUUGUUGCAAUAUAUGGUUAAUCUGUUGUGUCAGAUGGUUAAUAUAUUACAUCAUAUAGUUAAUCUGUUGUAUCAGAUUUUUAAUCUGAUGGUUCCUCUAUUGCAUUCGAUGAUUAAUCUGUUGCAUCAGAUGGUUAAUUUGUUGCAUCAGAAUUUUAAUUCGAUGGUUAAUCUACUGCAUCAUAUGCUAAAUCUGUUGCAUUAGAUGAUUAAUUUGUUGCAUCAGAUGGUUAAUUUGUUGUAAAAAAAUAAUAGCAUAAUUCUGUUCAAUAGAACAAUAACAAUAUCACCAUUUUUACCAAAAACACGAACAAUCAACCUAGCAAUGGGCGCAACACAAAAAACACCAACAUUGUUGUAUUAUUUGUAUAAACACAAACAACAAAAUCAAACUUAAAAAAAAAUGCAACAAACAACAAAAAAUCAUAAUUCACUCCAAAAAGAGAAGAGAAGAAAUAUCAGAAAUUAGGAUUUUAUUCAGACAACAUUUCAAAUUAAAGCAACAAAUAUUAAAAUUGUUAACCAAUACUAGAAGAGAAGUUGACUCAACUUUCUCAUUUUCUUCAAAACUAAAAAGGCCAUAAUUUUUUACCUAUGAAAGAAAAAGAAGACGAUGAAGAAUUCAAAACUAUUGUGGCCGGAGGACAAGGCUGUAACAUCGACUGAUGGUUGAAAGUCAAAAAGGAACUCGAAACCCAACUAUUUGUCGCUGGAUGUUGAAGUCGUCAGGGAUUGAAAGGAGAAAUUUGCAGAACUAUUGGUUGGAAAAAAUUGUUGAGAGAGAUAGGAGAGGCGGUUGAUUUGGAGAGGAGAGGGGUGUGGGUUGAUUUGUAUUUUUAAAAAGAUUAGAGAGUUUUAAAAAUAUUAAUUAAGUCCAUAACUUAAUCAAGUUUCCUAAUUAUGUUUGACUCUUUAAGUUGGUCAAUGUCACCAAUCCUUUAUUCGAGAAUUAAAUAACACCUUUCCUUCAAUUUUCUCUGGUUAGUAUAUUUAAUUAGCAUUAUGUUGAUGAAUUAUGCUUUUUCUUAACUUCAACAAAAAGAAUGGAGAAAAGACAUCUUUUCCCCCCUGAACUUGUCCUCCAAACUCACUUUAGCACUUAAACUUAACUUCCGUUUAUUUACCUCCUUUAACAUCUUUAAAGCGUAUUUAUUUAACCCCUAAAGCUGACGUGAUAUUUUUUUAAAAAAAGAGGCGUGCUUAUUUAUUAAAAAAAUUAAUUUCGGUAAUAUUAUAUUUAAAAUAUAAUAAUUUUUUUUAAAAAAAUAAAAUUAAAAUAAAAAUAAAAAAUGAAUACUUUUUCUCUUCCUCUUUAUUCUUCAAAUCAUAAUCAACAACAACACUCAAACCUCCAUUAACAACCUCAAUUUUUUUUUACUUUCCUCCAUUAACAUCACCACCCAAGAACAACACUUUUCUUUAAUUUUUUUCACUUUCCUCCAUUAACAACACCACCCAAAAACAACACUUUCCUUUAAAUUUUUUCACUUUCCUCCUCCAUUAACACCACCCAAGAACAAACAUGAAAACACUAUUAAAUAAUUUUAUCCAUUGAACACCAUCUCAACCUUCAAUCCAACUCCCUCAAAAUUCAGAUAAUAAUUAAAUUAAAUUGAUGAUUUUGUUUUUGAAUCACUUAUCAUCAAUGAGAUUUCUUUUGAUUUUUACUUUUGAAUUUUUUUGUUAAUAAAAAAAUUUACAAAAAUUAAUUUUAACUUGAUGAAAGAAUUUUUGUUUGAAUAAAAAAGAAGAGGGUGAGGGAUGGGGGGCUGGAAGGAUGGGGUAGGGGUGAGGCUGAAAGAGGAAAAAGAAUGGCAGGGGAGGGGGGCAGGGGGGGCUGGAAGGGAAGAAGAGCGAGCAGGAGUNNNNNNNNNNNNNNNNNNNNNNNNNNNNNNNNNNNNNNNNNNNNNNNNNNNNNNNNNNNNNNNNNNNNNNNNNNNNNNNNNNNNNNNNNNNNNNNNNNNNNNNNNNNNNNNNNNNNNNNNNNNNNNNNNNNNNNNNNNNNNNNNNNNNNNNNNNNNNNNNNNNNNNNNNNNNNNNNNNNNNNNNNNNNNNNNNNNNNNNNNNNNNNNNNNNNNNNNNNNNNNNNNNNNNNNNNNNNNNNNNNNNNNNNNNNNNNNNNNNNNNNNNNNNNNNNNNNNNNNNNNNNNNNNNNNNNNNNNNNNNNNAAAUAGUAAAUUAAUUUUUUUGCUUUUUAAAACAAAAAUACAUAAAAAUAGUAUGUGUGUGGGAUUUUUUUAAAAAAAUCCUAAUUUCUUACGUGGCAAUGACUCGGCACUGAUGUGGUACUGACAUGGCGUGUGUGUAACCCACUCUCCGUUGUGAGAGUGGUAUUCAGUUUUGAGGGUUGAAACAAAUACACUUUAAAGAUGUUAAGGGGGUAAACAAACAGAAGUUAAGUUUAAGUGCUAAAGUGAGUUUGGAGGACAAGUUCAGGGGGAAAAUAUUUCUUUUCUCAAAAGAAUGUGAAGAAUAAUUUUAUAUUUUAGUACUCACUCCAUCCUUUUUUUUAUAUGCUUUUGUUUCAUGAGUUAAUUUGACUUAACUUUAAAACUAACUUAUAUUAAAUUAAUUUAAUUUUAAAAAAAUUUAAUUUAGGUAUUCAAAAACUAUAUGAAAAGUACUAUAAAGUACAAAUUCUUUUUUUUUUUCAUUUAAUUAAGAAAUCCUUCUUAAAAUGUUGAUGAAAGUUUGUACAUUUAAUAGAGGGAGUAUAAGAUGGUUCUUUCAUAUAUUGAUAGUUCUCGCCCUAUCCUCUCCAAAGAAAAUUUGCAAGUAGGGGAGCUAUAAAGAGGAGCAAAGUUAAAAAGCAAAAUUACUAUUUUACAAGGGAAAAAACUAUUUUGGGGGUUCAAAAUUGAUGGUUAUGUCCACUUAUCAGCAAAGUUAAAAAGCUAAAUUAAUAUUUUAUGGAGGAAAAAUGAUCAAAAGGUUUUGAGGGUUCAAAAUUGAUAGUUAUGUCCACCUAUCAGAAGAAGACAUUUAAGCCUAGGUUGAAGUUUAUGUUCCCCUUUUUCAUAUUAUUUGAUCCCUUUUGAUAUGACACAUCCGUCAUGUAAGUUUAUUUAGUGGUAAUCUUAUUAGUGGUGGUUUUGAAACGUUAAAUUUGACUAUUAUAAUAUUUAGUUAUUUAAUACUAACUGCCUGUUUGGAUGGUGAUUUAUCAUGAUUUCACAAUGUAUGAUAUGGUACAGUAUCAUGUUUUAAUAGAUUGUAUCGUUCACUGUGGUUUAAUAAUAGUUUUUUUGUUUGGUUUGAUGGUAUGAUAAGGUAUGAUAACAGGUAAAUUUACUAAAAUGCCCCUAAUUGUAAUACAUUUGAGAUAUCAACUCUUUUAUCCAUAUCAGUGCUAGCGUAACCAGUUGUCCUUUCUUUCUUGAUGCUUCUCAUAACUACCCGAUGAUCCUUUAAGACGCCAAAUUCACAAGGAUAUUUGCUAAACAAAGAUUUGACGAACGCAAGCUAAUACAAUCGGGAAAUAAUUUCCAAUCAAUAAAACAAUUGGUAUACAUGUAUGUAUCUUAGAGUUCAAAAAUCACUUCCCAUGUAUAUAUUUAAUGUGCAUUCAUUCUGUUUCCCUCCAUUUCAAUUUUCAAUUUUUUUUUUAUCGAAUUGAGUUUUUAUUGGUAUUAAAAACUACUACAACUAAAUAACUGUGAUCAUUUUUCUCACUCUUUGAAUUUUUAUAUUGCUAACAGGAAAUCUUGCAAUCUUCGAUUUUGUUAACAAAUGCAUAGUCUUAGCAUGUAUUUUGUUGAUAAGGAUAAAAUAGGAUUAAAGAAAAUUAUAUAAGGGUAUAGUUGAAAAAGAAAAAUAAAAACCAUGGCACACCACCAAUUUAUUAGUUCACUAAAUUGCUUCAUUCCAUGAUUAUCAAACCAUGAAAUAGUAACAUAUCAUACCACCAUUUUUAGAAGCCAUGAAAACAAACAUGGCAUACCAUGGGAAACCACCAUCCAAACAGGCUGUAAGAGUAGUGUGAAACAGAAGGGGAAAACGGAUAUGAAGACGGAAGAGAGAGCAACGAAAUCGCCGAGAUAGGGUUAUGUUUGAAUAAUAUGAGCAACUAUUUUUGGAGGAAUUCUUGAAUUCUAUCUUAUGCACUAUGCUGCACUGAGGAGCUUAAAAUGAAGCUAAGCAUGGAGACACAUACCUCAGUGAGUUGUCAGGAGACCCUCUUGUGAAAUAGGUCGAGAUGGAUUUAUUUAUGUGAUUCUUCAAAGGCAUGAUCCUGGUUUCAACUUCAACUGCUAUUUCAUAUGUCCUUAGUGGUAGACGAGAAAGGCAAAGAUAUGAUUAUUGUUAUCAUGUGAAGAGAUAAUCAUAGAGAACAAAUCCCCACUUAUAUGUAGUUUUGUGAACUAUCCUAUUAAAGUCAAGAUAAUAGUAUGGAAUAAAAUUCUCUUGUUUGCUAAAAUGGAUAAAGUACAUGUUACUGCUGAAUGAAAUAUCUAAUAAAAUUCAAGGUUUAUCUUUUUCCUUCCUUUCCAUUCUUUAUCUAAUUGUGACUCCAUUUGAUUAUGUUAUUUAAUCAUACGUUUGGUAUAUUAUUCAUUAGUAUUAUAAUUGAAUCUUUAUUUAAAAUUAUUUGUUGAGUUUAAAAUAUAAGGUUAUAAUUAAAUAUUGAAUCUGAAUAUGUAGAUUACCGUCAAACAUACAACUCUACUUUGUAUUUUGUUGUUGUACGUUUUUAGAUUCUUUCGAAUGAAAGUUUCAAAAAAUAUAAAUAUCCAAUGAGAUGUUUCAGAUACCAUGCCAUAUGUUUCAAUUUUUCUUUGAGGUUCUUUAAUUUUAUGUCUUUGCCUACUUAUACUUGGAUUAGUGAGAAUUUAAUUGUAAAAGAUGUUAUUUUUAGAUGGAUGUUUUGUUACUUUUGUUUGGUCAAUUCGAUUGUCUAUAUUUUGUUAGCUGUUAUCUUAUUGUGCUCUUAAUUAACUAAACGAAUAAUAAUUUCUUUAUAUUUGAGUUUAUUUUUUUUUCUUUUUAUUGUAAAACAAUUCCUUAACUAUAACUAAAUAUAUUGUGGUGCCUGUAGGAAAUUUUUUAUGGUGGGUGAGGAUUAAAAAAUAUAUGCUGUAGGUCCCAUUUCACUAUAACAUCCCUUUUCUUUUCUCACCCCUCCAACCCCACCUCUUCUUCACCUCUCCGCUAAUAUACAAUAUUUUAAUUUUUUAAAUUUAAAUUUACUCAUGCCAUUUUAUGGCACAAAUUAAAAUAACAUAAUUACAAAAUCAAAGGGCAGCAAAAAGUAAUAAUGAACAUUUGGUCAUAAAAUAAAAAAAUUAUUUUAUUUAUAAAUUUUAAAAUUAAAGCCGAGUUGUGUUGCACAUAAUUUUUGUAAUAAAGGACCCCUUUAGCCAUAAAUAGUAUUCAUUAUAUUUCAUGUACGUUUUUACUUUAUUUCGAAAUAUUUAUUUGAUCAUAAAUAAAUCAAAUAUAAUUUAAAGUUGUAUUUGAAAAUUUGGAAAACAUCUCAAGAGGUGUUUUCACUAUUUAUGAUUUCAUUUUUUGUACUUUUUUCUUUAUUUUUUUUCAAGAAAAUAAAUUUUGAUUUACUUUCAUAAAAUAACUCCAAUUUCAUAGAAUUUUAUUUUUAAAUUUAUUUUCAUAUUAUAUAUAUAUUAUUAAAAAAUAUGUUUGAAUUCUAAAUAUCAACUAAAAUACUAUGACCAGACACAACUCAACUCUAUUUUUAACUUUAAAAUUUUUAAAUAAAGUAAAUAUAUUUUUAAUUUUCAUGAUCAAACGCCAAUUUAAAAUUGAAAGCUAGAUGGUGAAAAUAAAUUUCAUUAAUGAUUAUUCAACUUUGAGUUUAUCAAAAAUAGUUUUAUUUUCUUAUUACAAAAAAUUAUCUAAUUUUAAAGUUUAUCACACACAAUAUUAUUUUAUCACAUAAGGUGUGUUUGAUAAUGAGUACUACCUGUUAAUGAAAAUAUCAAAAUAAAGAAGAAUCAGAUUUGGUAGAGUAAAUAAAUCAAACAUUUUAUUUAAAUCAAAAUAUAAAUAUAUUGCAAAGCAACUAUACUAAGGAAAAAAGAAUAAAAAUAGAGAGAGAAAAAUAGGACCUUUAGGGCUUUGAUUUCUUUUUAUGACAAUGGACCCAUCAUUUUUAUUUGGCAAAAUAUAAGAGGAUCCUUAGAUAAUUUUUGUCCUUCAUGUAAUAUUUGGGCCUCUCACACACUAAGAAGCCGUUUGAUUAUGAAAACUAAAAAUUUUUUGAGUUGGAGUUGCGUUUGACCAUAUCUUUUUUGAAUUUUUUUUUUGACUUUUAAAAAAACUUUUUUAAAUAUGAUUUUAUGUCCUAACUUUUACAAACUAUCAAAAUCACUCAACUAAAAUUUACUUACUAAUGAAAAAAAAACACAAUUAGCCACUAUUAUAAAAAUAAUUAUAUAUACAUGGUCAUAUUUAAUGAAUUUCAAUUAUGACAUAUAUAAUAUUUACAUUAAUAUUCGUUUUCUCAUAUUUGAAAAUUUUAAAUAUCAAUGUUAUAUUAACAGAUCAUGCUUCCUGCUUUUUAGGUGACAAAUAUUAUCUUUUAAACAAAUUUAUUUUUUUAGAAAUUUAUUUAAUUUAUUUCCUUUAUUUUCCGUUCCUAAAAAAUAGAAAAUGAUGAGUUGUUACUAAAUUUUAGGGUGCCGCUAAUUUAUUUCUUUAAUUUUCUNNNNNNNNNNNNNNNNNNNNNNNNNNNNNNNNNNNNNNNNNNNNNNNNNNNNNNNNNNNNNNNNNNNNNNNNNNNNNNNNNNNNNNNNNNNNNNNNNNNNNNNNNNNNNNNNNNNNNNNNNNNNNNNNNNNNNNNNNNNNNNNNNNNNNNNNNNNNNNNNNNNNNNNNNNNNNAUGGUAUAAACUUCAUAUAUAACAUACUUUGUAUAUUUAUAUUAUAAAUAUGUUUAAUAUGUUUCUUAAUACUUUGUAUAUUUAUAUAUGUGCAUAUAUGAUAUAUAUAUGGUAUAAACUUUAUAUAAAACAUAUUUUGUAUAUUUCUAUUAUAAAUAUAAUACUUUAUAUAUUUAUGGGUAUAAAUAUAAUACUUAUAUAUCUAUGGGUAUAAAUAUAAAUUAGCAAUAAAUAAUAUCUUAAAUAAGGAAGAAAAUUAAAUAAGAGAUAAAAAUAAUGAUGAGAGAGAAAAAGAGAUAUAUAUUAAUUAGGAUAACAUUAAGUUUAAAAUUAUAAUUAUCUUAUUCUUUAAAACUGCUAUAUACGUAAUAUUGAAAAAGUAAUGUUAUAAGGAGAGUUUUAUGUAAAAAUUUAAAAGAUUAAGGUUAUAUGUAAUAAUAAUAAAAGUUGAAAUUGGAAUUGAAAAAUUGUGAAAACAACAAAAACCUGUUUUCCUUUUUCAGAAUUUUUUUCGGAAUUAUUUUCUGAAUUUUCAUGGCCAAACACCAUAAUAUCUAACUCCAAAUUUUAUUUUCGAAAAAAAGAAAAAAAAAUUCAUGGUCAAACGGGUCCUAAAAUUUUUCGUGUGCCUGUAGUGCCAAAACACUGCUCUUGUCAUAUCAAAUUAGUGCCAAAAUAUUGCUCAUGUGAUUCUCCCCUUUUUGAUAAUUUCAUCCUUGAUACUAAAGUAGAGUGAUUAUUUUGUUCGAAUUAGAAAUGUUUUUGCCCUUUAUUAAAGCACCUCACAAUAGAUAAAAUUAUCAUUUUAUUAUUUAUUAUAUUCCUUAAAUUAAAAGUCAAAUCAAAUAUUAUAUUUUUUUUACUAAAUUCACAAACCAAGUUACUUUUCCAUAUUUGAAAUUAAAAUUUUUUUAUUUAUGUUAAAAAAAAUCAGAUCUAUAAAAAAUUCUAACAUUAAUAAAAUUAAAUUUAACCACAACUUUGAUACUUUUCAAGGGUAUGAAUAGUGGGUUUUGAGCUAGAGGGUCAAAGACAACACCGAUGGGUUUGGAGUGUUGCUUGACAAUCGACUUCAAAGCUUAGUUAAACAUAUCAUAAUUCAACUAAAUCCAUCAUAUUCAUACAUUCAAGAGAUAUUGAAUUCAAUCAUUGUAUUAAUAUAAUAACAUUUAGUUUCAUUAUUCAUUAUUUAAACAGAUACUGUAUUUAGGAUAAUAUUAAUAGUUCUUUUAAAACAAAUUAUUAUUUUUAUUAUUUUGAAUAAUAAAGUAAUGCACAUGUGCAACAAACGUAUCCUAACCUGCUUAUGUAAAUCUCGUAUCAACACAUAAAAAAUCAAAUUUUUGUUAAAUCUCCCUUCGGUAUGAGUGACAAAAGAAAAACCACAACAUUGGUUGGUCCCUGUUGAGCACUGCCACAAAUGUAAACAUCCAGGGCCCAACUGAUCAUGAUAAGCCUAGAAGGGACACUUUAAUGAAUGGGAAAAGGACAUGGCGUGAUCAUUUUUUAAAAAAAAAUGAAUAUAAUUUGAAAAGGUAGAUAAAUAUAAAUUAUCAACUAAAUUUAAUUUUUUUUUUAGUUAUUUGGCUCAAUUGAACACAUACAGUCUCUAUACUCAAUUGAUACACUUUUAUAUCAUAUUGAUACACUUUUAUACUAUAUUGAUACACUUUUAAUAAAAGAGAAAGGAAAUUCUAUGCAAGUACAUGCGCUCCCUAUACCCAAUUGAUACUCUUUUAUACCAUAUUAAUACACUUUUAUACUACAUUGAUACAUUUGCAGUGUCCAUAUACUCAAUUGAUACUCUCUUAUACUAGAUUGAUACAUUUUUAGAAUACAUGUAGAAACUAUAUAGAGUCGUAUAAAAUAUGUAUCUAAAUAAUAAUUGUAGUUAAAAAUUAUAUAGAAUGUGCAUAUCUAUUUUCUUUUUAAUGUUUGACUUGUUUUAUUAUAGUUCCUCUUUUGGACUUGCAAUAAUGUCGGGGUUGAUUUUUGGAUUUGAAAAAUUACAGUUGAACUAUUGAAAAAAAUUGGAGUUAGGUUUUCCAUUUUGUGUUUGAGUUGCAUUAUCUGCUCCUCAAAAUCCUAUGUAUUUGUUUUGAUCAAAUAAAGUUUCUUAUAGUAAUUUCACAUAACUUUUUUUAUAGUCAAUGUCAUCAUUCCAUAAAUAUACAUAAUGUAUGUUUCAAUGUACAACAAUUGUAGUUAUGUUAAUUUAAAAAAAGGAAUUGGUUUUUAGAAAAAAAUAAAAAGUUGCAAAAAAAAAAGUAGAAAAAUAGUGAAAAAACACAAAAGAGCAGUGAUUUUUUUAUAAUAGAAUGAAACAUCAAAUUAAAAAAAAUGGAACAUAAAAAAAACAGCAAAAUUAAAAAAAUAAAAUGAACUAGCGUUUAAAAAAAAAAUAGGAAAAAACAUGAAGUAACUGACAUGCAAAAUAAUCAAUGGCUGUAAAAUGAAAUUAGUUUAGUGGCUGAUUAGAGGGAAUUAAAUUGCAGUGUCUAUUUAGUUGGAAUUAGUUUUAGCUAGUGGACAUUUUUGUCAUUUCCCUUAAUGAAAACCUUUUUUUUUUUUUCGUUUUAUUAACUGACACAAAUUAUAUGAGAUUGUUUUCUUGCUGGUCAGAUUAGUGGACACAAGUAUAAGAUUUGAAUCCAGUAAUUUAUAAAACAUAAAGGAACCUCACGUAAUUUGUGUUAGUUUUAUAAGGCCAAAAAGUGAGGUGUCUCUAUUCUUACUAGUUAUUUAACUGAUGUCUCAAUGUAAUGCAACUCUUUCCAUUUUAAUUGGGAAAAAACAUAUACAAUUCUGAAAAAAUAAAUUACAAUUCCUGUUCAACAAGCACCACAAGUUUUGGAACCCUCUGUGAUAGUUGAUUAACUAGGAUGAGGUGACACUACAAACUGUUUCUCUUAAUUAGAACAAUCAACAUGGAGGACCAAAUUUUACUGUUUUUUUUCUUUUCCUUCUUUAGCCUUUGCAAUUUCUUCUACUGCACGUUGUUCCAAUUUACUAUUUAUAACUAGUUAAAGUAACAUAUUCGUUUAGUUCAAUUGAAAAGAUUUUCAAUCCAAUCCCCUACAUACUUGGCCAAAAGGUUAAUAUCAAAGAUAAUGCCACAUGUGGUCGUUAAUCGUCAUACUAAAGUAGCUAGGAGGAAAGGAGUGGUUAAUGUGUCGUUUUCAUAUUUAAAGAGGUUUUUUUUUGGGCCGAUAGAACUCAUCAUACUCACCACACAAAACAUACACUACCUCGAUUUCAACUAGUUCGUCUAAUAAGAAAAUUAAAAAAAAUAAAUAAAAUAUUUGAAUCAUAUAGUUUUAAACAUAGAUGUGUAGAAUGCAACAAAUAUUGUUAAAUUUGCAGUUUUAAAUAUGUUACUUAAGAAAUUGAAAUUAAAAAACUACAAACAAGAAAGAUGAGCAAAUUGAAAUUAAAGAAUAACUGAAAAACCAGAACUCAACAUAUAAGCACCGAUUCAUCAUUAUUAAAUUCUCAUAACUUGGUUGGAAUGGAGGAAAAUACACAGGUACAAGAGGAAAAAGAAACAAAGGAAAAAACAGUAGUUUCUGAAAGGGGUAAAAAAAGACUAGGUACAAAUCAAACAAACAUCUCCAUAGGAGGAGUAAUUAUAUGUUGGCUGGCCAUAAGGGUGAAAUUCAGUAGCCUUCUGGCUUGUAGGCGAUGAAACUGAUGCACUGCACUUGACGAACGUUAUCGAAUCCGAUAAUACGGAUCCAGGCCUGUGGGUAAGCCUUCUUGGCCUCUUGGACCUCAUUCAACACCUGGGUAGCGUCAGUGCACCCAAACAUGGGCAACUUCCACAUUGUCCAGUACCUUCCAUCGUAGUAUCCUGGUGACCUGUGGUGCUCACGGUACACGAAUCCGUGCUGCAUCCAUAACAUAUUCAUAAUAAUUAGUUACUAUUAUGCUUAAUUAAUACUUGUAAAUUUUAUAAAUCAGAGACAAAUAUUGACCUCAGUCUCGAAUUCCAAGCAAGGAACCCAUCCCUUUUGCAAAAGGUACUCAAUUUCCUUGAGCAAUUGCUCGUCAGACAAAUCAGGAAGGUAUGAGAGAGUCUCGUACUUCUUCUUGUUAAUUGGUGGCCACACCUACACUCCACACAUAAAACAAUUCAAAGUAAUUAGUACUAGCACGAAUUAGAAACGUAGUUAACUAUAUUGAUAAUGUAAAAAUUCUUUUAACCAGCAUGCAUUGGACACGUCCACCGUUGCUAGCAAUGGAAGUAAUGUCAAGGUUGUUCUUCCUAGUAACUGGGAAAGAUGCAGCAGAUUUUAGGCCAGUGAAGGGUGCAACCAUGCUAGCCUGAGUGACAUUGGUGCGGGUAGCAACGGCUGCCGAAGAGAUCACUGAGGAAGCCAUUGCGUUACUACUUAGUUUUAUUUUUCCUUGAGACAAUUGUUUUUUUGAAGAUGCUCAUUGCACUGUGGCUCCCGUCCUUUAUAUAAUGAAAAGAUUAGACAUAUUCUCUAUCUAACGGAUUGAAACAAGCAAACCUCAUCUUAGAUGAAUGGUGACCAUUGGAUUAUGUGGCUGUUGAUAUUACAAAGUUUAAUGGCCACAUGAAAGAUAAGAAAUUGGAGCUAAGUGUCUUUUUCAUUUCUUCUUUUUAAAUUCAUUAAGAAGCCAGAAUGGAGGUGCCACGAGUCAGAAGCUGGUGAAUCUUAUCUCAUCCAGAAUGGUUAAUUUUUCUAUGUUUUCAGAGAGUGCAGUUUAGCCUCAUCUUAUUAUUACAGUAGUGGAUGUAGUUGCAGUCUUUUUUGAUUGGACUUGGAGAGACCAUUCCGUAUUGCAGAAGGUCCAGACGUAUUUUUCUGGACGCAUCAUUUUCGUAUUUUUGGCCACUCCCAAGUUUUAUUUAUUUUCAACUUAGCUUAUAAAUGGUGACAAUAUAGACACCUCAUAUUCCAAAAAAGAAAAUUUAAAUUAGCCUUGAAUCUCAUUGCUAAAUUGCUGGUGACUAACAGGAUUAUUUGACAGUCCGCCAAAUAUUAUGUUAGCAAUGGAUUAAUUUUGCUGUUUAGUUACAAAAUUUUUUUGUUGCUUGUUUCUAAUUUUUAGUACGUAAUUUUAGGUCGCAAGUUCUUACUUUUAGUAAAUGGUUACUCCAUCCAUUUUUAAAUAAGUGCAUGUUUUGAAAUUAACAUGCCAUUAAUAAAUUGCUAACUCCUAGAAAAUAAAAUGUAAUUUUAUCAAUUUAUGCUAUAUACUACCAAAAGGGCAGCCUUUAGCCACGAUUUUGUAGCCACGACUGCAGAAAGUCGUCCCUAACAUUAUAAGACAAUUUGAGGUUUCCAACGCAUCACAAAGCGAUGCUAAAAUAUUGUGGCAAAAAAUAGGCGGGGUACUAAAAUUUCACUCCCUUUUUUCAUCCGCCCCCACUUUUUUUUUUUUUUUUGAAAUUAAUUUUUCUUUCCACCCAAAAUUUAAUUUAGUAGUAUAGGAAAUUAUUUUCAUUUUUUUGGCACUCAAAUAUCUGUUUAAUCCUAAAUUGCUACUCACCCAAAUCACUGCCUCCUCUCUAUCAUCGAAAUUCAACUUCUGCUAAUUGUUGCCACUCCUUUCUAUCAUUGUAAUCUUCUUGUGUUCUUAUUUUGCCACAAGUUUUAGGGCCAUUGAAGUACCUUUCUUAUUUUGGGUUGUAUUCUUCUUAUUUUGGAUUGCUGUAUCGAAUUUUUGUUGUUUUAUUGCUCACUCUUGCAUUGUUGUUCUUAUUUUGGUUUAUUGUGUAGAGUUAUAUUGAAUUUUCCUUUAUUUUGAAGGAAAUUGCUAAACCUAGUUUAUCGAAACUUGAUGAGAAAAGAAAUUGACUCAAUCUAAACGAGGUACUCUAAUCGACUCAAAAAUUAUAUGUAAAGAGCUAAUUAAGUGCUACUGAGGGUUGAGGGUUUAGCAGGUCUUAACUACACUAACUUUUUACUAUUUUGUUGUUUUCUUUACAGGUAAUUUCCAUACAAUUUGAAGGCUAUUGAAAUUAUGGCAUCUUCAAACUCUUUAUUAAGUUGGAACAUUUUUCGCCUGAUGAGGCUCUUUACUUGUUAUUAACUCUAUUUAUUUGCUCUUUCAAAGGGUUCAUUUUCAAAAAAUUAUGUAUAAUGUAUUAGUACUAUAUAGAAGCAUGGUAAAGUAGGCAGGUGUUCGUCGAUAUGCCUGCAUGUUCCGUAAUUUUACUAUAUCACUCUUAAUUAAUUAUAAUUACAUGUCAGUUACGUAUUAAAAAAUUAAUAAUAUUUAAUGAAAAAAUAAAAUAGACAUUUAUAAUAUACUGAUUCAGUUACUUCAACCAUAAUUUAUCAUAUCACUCCUAAUUAAUUGUUAUAAGUCAUCUAAGUAUUAAGAAAUUAAUAAUAUUUAUUAAAAAAGGUAAAAUAGACAUAAAAUGAUAAAUUAAGAAACAAUUACACAAAUAAUCAAACUUAAGGACCAUUAUUUCAAAAAAUCCCAUGUCUUUUAAAAUACUUCAUAAUAUACCACUUUUUAGUAUUUUUAUCCUUGAUACAUAUUAUUUCUCUCUCAAAACCGCACAACCACCUAUUUUUUAGCCCCACAUCUCUCCAUUUCAUUUAAAAAAUUUUUUAGCCCAAAAUAAUCGAUAACUUCUCUCUAAUUUUGAGUUUCAAUCACUUAUCUUCAUCCUCUAUCUAUUGCAAACGUCAUUCAAGUCAAUGCGGUAUAAUUUUUUUUUUUUAAUUUUUUUGAGAGGUGAGUUGACUGUUGAAGUAGAUUUUAAGAAAGAUUAAUUUAUAGUAUUAGUUUCAAAACACAUUUAUUGUAUUUUUUUUGUUUUUUUAUUUUUUGAAUUUUAUGGCUUCCGAUGAUUAACCAUCAUUCUGUUUGGAUGUUACCCAAAUUGAUAAGAGCAUUGCUGGUUCUUCAAGUGAUGAAGUGGUGGGUUUUAUUCCGGAUAAUUUUGGUAACAUUUUAAUUUUUUUUUGCGAAAAUCAAAACACUGCAAUGACUUUGCAAAGAUGAAGAGGCUUCGAAAAGAUUAUGCUACUCAAACUGAAAAAACAAACAUGCAAAUCAGUGAGGAAAACAAUAUAGGGAGAUGUACAAUUUCCCCUCAAAUAUGGUAAAAAAACCUUAAAAUUUUCACUUGAUACAUAUGACAUUUUUACUACGAUCUGAAUGCAUUUGAUGCUUUUGUUAGAUGAUACUUUUGAUAUAUUUUUGUAGUUGAUACUUUGUCUAUAUUUAAGUGUUUGUAACAGUUUAUUCUUCGUACUGAUAUUUGUUGGAUUUGAUACCUUUGAUAUAUUUAAAAUCCGUUAUGUGUAUUUAUAAUUUGCAUAUUUAAUACAUUUGAAAUAUUUUGAUAGCAAGUAUUCAUUGCCAUGUGUUAAAUCAAUAUACAUAUGUUUGAUAUAUUUUGAUAUAUAUAAUGUAUAGAUACAGUAUAUGUAUCAAUAUAUCUAUUUUAUACAUAUGAUACAUAUCAUACUAUAUUAUAAUGUUAUACGCCCGACCUAACUUGUUUAAUCUGCUGAUUACAAAGAAUGUGAACAUAGUUGUCAAAAAAAUGGCCUUUACAUAAUUUAAGGUAUUGUAGAAUACAUAAUCACAUGAUUGUUUCAAAGAUGAAGACAGGUCUAAAGGAAGAAAAAUUUAGAAUAUUUCGUCGUACCUAUUUUGAAUCAUAUCUCAGAAUGUUCAAAUGCAACGUCAAGGAUUAUGGAAUGAACAAAGCAAUGAAUGGAUAUGUUAGUGACAAUCAAGACAUGUGUUAGUGACAAUCAAGACCGCCUAAACCUAAAUACACAUACAUUCCUUAAGAUGAUCAGAAUUUGAUAGAUAUUGAGUAGUUGUUUUUCUGGUAGUCGUGUUCUGAUAGUUGUGUUCUGAUGUUGAAUACAUAUUUUGUGAUUUUGUUCUGAUAGAAUUUUCAUGAUGAAAUUGUGGCUUUUUGUGUCCUUGUUUUCUUUUUUGGUGGAAAAAUUAAAUGGUGAUUUGACAUUACAUAUAAUAACACUUAGUACUUUAUUUAUUAUAAUAAUUUUUUUUUACAGUUUUAUGUAUUAUUAUGUUAAAGUUAUUAUUUUUGCAGUUUACCAGUAACUUCAAAUCAUAUGUAUAUACAAUAUGAUUCAUUGCAUUCAAAAACAUUUAUCAAUGAAAUUGCAGUUCAUCAGUAUCUGAAUGAUAUAUAUCAAAUAUAUGUAUCAUUAAUGAUUUAUAUGUAUCAAAUAAAGUCAAACAAAAAUUAUUGCUGAUAAUUCUAAAAGGCUAGGAGUAAAGCAAGAGAUGAUCGAUCAUAAUAGGACUAACACAAGUUGAAAUCAGUAUAUUGAGAAACAAUGCUGAUUUAUUUUUUUGAAUGAAUUUAUGAAGACUUUUUAACGAACAAACGUUUGCUAUUGAAUAGGACUUAUUGAGAAUUAUUAUUCAUAAAGUGAAACUCAAUAUUUGAUGUUGAAUUGAAACUUUAUGCUUCAGACAAAGGGACUUAGUAACAAAAUUGUAGUUCUUAAGAAAUAAUGCAGUAAUAGCAAACUUUAAAUCAACUUAAAAUUGCAGUUGAUUAGUUAACUGAAUGAUAUGUAUCAAACAUAUGUUUCAUUAAUUAUUAAUAUGUAUCAAUCAACUUAAAAUUACAAUUAUUUUUUUUUGUUACACAAUUAAAGUUAUGUUAAAGUUACUGUUUUUGCACUUCACUAGUAACUUUAGUUUAUAUGUAUAUAACAUAUGUAUCAGUUACUUUGCAUUUUUUUUAGUUACCGGAAUGAUAUGUAUCUAACAAUGUUUCAAAGAUAUGAAUUAAUUAUGUAUACAAAAAAGCUAUUGUAGCGAUUCACUGUAAUUAAUAUUUUCAGCAAUUCAUCGAUCGUAAGUUGAAAAACUAUUGUAGCCAUUAGAUCUCUGUAAGAUGCUUUUUUGUGGAUUAUAAUACCGUCAACCUUAUACUAGUCAUAUCUAAUCUCAGAAAUUCAAAUACCUAAAUGCCCUUACAAAACACAGAUAGUCGACAGUUACACGAUGAAAAGAAAGAUGAAGAAUUUGUGUAAAAAUUGAAGUUUUCAAUCGAGUUUGAUUUGAAGAGAUGAAUGUUUUAAUUUUCUGUUGAUUUUUACAUUUUUUGCCCUUUUAAAACUGAUGAAACAUUAUUUACUCUCUCAAUUUAAGGGCAUUUUGUUGUUUCUUUAGUUAGCUAACAAUUUUUUUUUCCGAAUGUAUCAAAACACAUAUGUAUCAAGGCCAAAUAUAUGUAUCAAAAAACGUAAAAUAUAGUAUAUUAAGUAAUAGAUAAAGUUGUGUUAAAAAUAGUUAUUAGCACCUUAAUGUAUGAUAUUUAUGUAAGUUACCCAUAAAUUAACUCUUGAUAUUUUAAAUUAACUUGAUAUCUUAUAUGAGACCCACUUAAAUUUUUUUCACAAGUAUAUCUUAUAACAAUUUUUCUAUAUCACUUCUAGUUAGUUAUUUAAGACAUGUCUGCUUCGCUACUUCAAUCGUGAUAUUUGAUUUACUCUCGAAAUUAUAUCACUAUCACUUAAAUUGGAAUAGAAGAAAAAGUAUUAUAAAUCAUAAUAAUUAAAAAAUUUAAAUUAUCUUAAAAAUAUAAUUGACUAUCAAUGCCACAGAAGUUUGGAUAUGGAAAGUAUUACAAAUUACAAUAGCUAACAACUUAAAAUAGUAAAUUAGAAUGCCAAAAAAAUAUUAUAAACUACAAUAGCUAACAACUUAAAAUAUCUUAAAACAUAUUAAAAAUAUAAUUGAUUAUCUAAAUUAGAAAAAUUAUUAUAAAUCACAAUAACUAAAAACUUAAAUUAUUUUAAAAAUAUAAUUGACUAUCAGUGCCACAAAAGUUUGGACAAAGAGAGAAUUAUAAAUUACAAUAGCUAACAACUUAAAAUAGUAAAUUACAAUGCCAAAAAUAUAUUAUAAAUUACAAUAGCUAACAAUUUAAAAUAUCUGAAAACAUAUUAAACAUAUAAUUGAUUAUCUAAAUUUUAAUUGUGUCACAUCAACUGAGAUAAGAAAAUAAUAUAUAUUGGGUUCGUGCUAGCACGUGCCCCUCGAUAUCUAGUAGUAAUACAUAUAAGUGGCUUGGGAAGCAGCUGGAGGUUGUCCUCCCAACUUGCCGACCAAGCCCACUUUUUACAUAUUAUUAUUUUUCUCCAUUUUAAUUUGUUUGUCUUAUGUUUAUCUGUUAUGUAUUUAAAAAUUAGAUAAAAGUUACUAUAAAUUAUAAUAAUUAACGAUUUUAUUUGAAGGACAUAAAAAAGUUUAUUCACUCUCAAAAUUCUAUCAGCCACACAACUUGGGAUAGAAGAAGUAACAUAUAUUAUCUAAAAAUAACAUAAAAAGUAUCUUAAAUCAUAAUAAUUAACAACUUAAAAUAUUAUCGACAUAUGAUUAUAUAAGUGGUUUGAGAAGUAGUUGGAGGUUGUCCUCCCAGCUUAUGGACCAUGCCACUUUUUAUAUAUUAUUAUUUUUCUCAAUUUUAAUUGAUUUUUCUUAUUUUUUUUUAUCAAUUAUGUAUUUAAAAAUUACAUAAAAGUUACUAUAAAUUACGAUAAUUAACGAUUUAAGAUAUUUGAAGGACAUAAAAAAGUUUGUUCACUCUCAAAAUUCUAUCAGCCACAUAACUUGGGAUAGAGGAAGUAACAGUAACAUAUAUUAUUUAAAAAUAACAUGAAAAAUAUCAUAAAUUGUAAUAAUUAACAAUUUAAAAUAUUAUCGACAUAUAAAAAAUUUGAUUGAUUCUCCAUAUACUAUUACAAUUACAUAAAUUGGGAUAAGAGCAACAUAUAUUAUUUGAAAAUAGUAGAAAGUACUAUAAAUCACAAUAAUUAACAACUCAAAAUAUUUAAAAACUAUAUAUGAAAAAUUGGGUUGACUCUCUAAAUUCCAUCAGUGUCACAUAAAUUGAGACAAAGAGAGUGUCAUAUAUUAGAUGAAAAUUAUGUAAAAAUACUACAAAUUACAAUAAUUAACAACUUAAAAUAUUUAAAGACCAUACAAACAUCUACAAAUAUUAUAGAAAACAUGGUUGAUUCUCUAAAUUACAUCAAUGACACAUACAUUCAAACAAUGAGAGUAAUAUGUAUUGUCUUAACUUAUAUAAAAAAUAUUGUAUAUCAUUAAAUACUUGAAAUAUUUAAAGAUCGUAUAAAAAAUUUAAUUGACUCUCCAAAAUUUAUCUGUAUCAUAUAAAUUGAGAAAAAAAUUAGCAUAUGUUGAGAUUGUGCUUACACGGGCUCUUGUGUCUAGUAUCUAUAAAUGUGGCUACAAAGUCAGUUAUGACAGUGGAAAGUUAAACAAUGAAGGCUUUACUUGAGUGUUGAUUCAAUUGGCCAUAUUUGCCUUCUUUUAGUUCCCCGUUUGUGACCGAAAAUAAAUAAACACAUAAAACAGAAAAAUUCUAAAACUAGAUGGACUCUUUUGAGAUGAGAGAUAAGGGAUAGCUAAUUUCAUAAUUAAUUUUAGAAUGACUAUAUUCCAUGUUUGAUUGAAAUAAAUGUUUCGAGAUAAGUUGUUUCUCAAUCAAACGAGCCUUGCUAGUUUCCUAUAGUCUUGUUAGUUAUUAGUUUCCUUGUUAUUUCUUUAAGUAUUUGGGUUGCAAUUAUUUUAGUGACAUGUAUGACCCCUAUUAUAUGUGCCGCUUUUGGGUUUAAAUUUUUAAUCAUUCUGUAGUAUCUGGAUAUAACACUUCUUAGUAUUUAGUUAUUUGGUUCUAGCUACUUUUAAAUAAGUUGUCGUCAUGUAUGAUACAUCUAAUUAACCAUGAAAAAGGAUCAACUACAAGGAAGGAAUCAGAAGUUUUAUCGUGGAAUAACUUGUUAAUAUGUAAGGUUUAUUUAGUGAAGCUGUGAGGUACUGACUAAUAUUUUGCUUUCAAUGAAUUACAUUCUUUAUCUUGGUGUCUUUUUAAAAAAGUCUAUUUAUUUUAAGUACCAAUUGUUGGGUUUUUAAGAGGUGGGAAUGGAAAAUAAAUAGACUUUUUUAAAAAGACACCAAGAUAAAGAAUGUAAUUUGAAUAGGCACCUUUUCGGUUUGGAUGAUUAUGAACUUUCCAAUGGGUUGUGACUUUUUUGAAGAGUUGUACCUUUUUUUGAAGAGUUGCACCUUUUAUGAAGGGAGACACCUUUCUGAACCAUUGCUUCUCAUCACGAAGAAACACCUUGACGGAUAUAAAUACCUGAAAUUUUUUCUCAUCUAUAGACAUGAAAAUUUUGAAGAAAAAAAUAUUCGUCUUUCUUAAAAAGAAACUCUAUUGUGGUUUGCUACCAUUGAGUGCAUUUGUGAUUUGACAGAAAUUGAGGUACUGCUAUUCUGUUGAAUUGUGAUUCAUUUUACCCUGGGAAGAUAUAUUCUAUAACCUCGGGUACUUGAGGAAAAUUAUUUCCUUAAGAACACACCGUGAAUUCGGUGGACUUGAAUCUUUUUAUUUCAUCUUUUUCUCUUAAAGUUGGUUUUACUAUUUUUCAGAAUAUAGUUUGAACUUCAUAUUGAUAUUUCUUCAACUGUUUGAACUUGUGUUUGAAGUUUUUGAAACUUCAUUUUAAUAGUUCAUAAGUUGAUUGAACUUGUGUUGAAGUUCUUAACAUUUGAUUUUUCUAUUUCAAGAAAAUAGUUUGAACAACCUUUUUUGGUUGUUCAUAAGUUGAGUUGAACUUAUUGUUAAAAGUUUAAAGUUGUAAAUACGGAGUUUAAACUUCAUAUGAUUGUCCAUAUGUUAAUUUAAACAUGUAUUUGAUGUUAUUGUUGAAAAAUAUAGAUUUUACUAAACCCGUAAAAAAAUAAUAACAAACUUAAGAAAAUUAUAAAAAUAUUUAUUAUUGUGCUUGUUUGGUGAAAGAAAGAAUUUUUUUCCACCAUUUAUAAAUCAAGUACUUGGUUAAUAUGUAUUGGAUCUGAUUUUGGGGAGACUAAAAUCUUUUGAUUUCUACUCCCUCGGUUGGAAAAAUAUAAGAAAUUCAUUGAAAAAUUAGUGUGGGAAUUUGGUUCGAAGAAUAUAAAAACUUCACCAACUCGAUAAACUUUCUGUAUUGAUAUCUAGUGUUUAAAAUUUGUGGUGUUUAACUUUCUUUGAAUUUGAUUCUGAUUUGAAGUCAUACAAACUUUGUUAGAUUUUGAAGUUCAUUCGAUUGAUGAUUUGAAGAUAUAAAAACUGCAUCGUUGGUUAGAAGCAAGUUGGUAAAAAAUUAAAGUCUUUAUCGUUAGUAUUCUGAAAUACUAAAGUACAUGUCAAAGAUUGACAGAAAAGUGUCAAAUAAAAUUGAACAACAAAUUGAUUCGAUUGUGAAUGGUGUUAUCCCAAAGACAACCAAUGUUGCUUCAUUAAGUCGUUCAGAUAUUGCUCUAGCAGUGAAAACGAUAGAGAAACAAAAAAAUAUUUUGGUGUGAACUUCAACGAAUGACAACAAACCUUGGCUGACCAAACUUGAAAUGCAAAUGUUCACAGGUCAAGAUCCUCACGUUCCGAAAAAAAUAAUGAUUGAAAACCAAUUGUCUGGUUUGAAAGAUCUUGUGAGUCAUCUAAAGGUAGAAGAGGAUAAUGAGUUAAAUGAGAAAUUGAUAUGAUGUGAAAACAUGAUACUUUCGAUACUUAAAACCGAUAAUUUAUGCGUGAACUUAGGGUGUUUUGUUAGAUAUGAUGCACUUUGGUGUGAAUUACAGGUAAAAUAGGUCAAAAAUAGUACUUGAAAGUAAAGAGAAGAAAAAGACCUGAAAAGGACUAACUUUGAUCAGUAUAUGAGUCAACACCUAAGUCAUAACAAAUCAAUACGACUCAUAUGCUGAAUUGUAAGUACAACAGAACCAAAAAAGAAAUUGAAGAACCAAAUCUGAGAAAGAUACGACUCAAGUAUAUCAACCAUAAGGCAGGAUAUGAGUCGUAAGCUGAAGCCGUAAGCAUAACAGAAUCCAAGAUACUAUCUAGGAAUUGAAGUGUUGGAUGUAUAUGAGCCGAAAGUCUGAGUACAACUCGUAUCAAGAUAUCGUAUCUAAACCAGUGAUCAAGUUUUGAAAAGACUAAAGUCCCAGUUGGAUACGGAUGAAGAAUCCGAGUCGUACACAUGGUUACGACUUGUGAACUGGAAUCGUAAGAUGAGAAGAGAGUUUAAGCCAUAGGCAGACUAGGUGCUGGACUGGUUACGACAAGGCAGGGUACGACUCGUAAGCUGAGGAUACGAAUGACGAUCGAGUCAUACCGACUUAACUUUACCUUUUCUAUUUUAAUAGGAAUUUACUGUUAUUUUGAGACACUAUAAAAACCCUAGGGUUUAUCUUUUAUUAGGUUAGCUUCUAUUACAUUCUACAACAUACUUUACAAUUGUUCUUGAGAUUUUAGGAUUUUAUUCAAUUCAAAACUUUGGAGUUUAUUCAUCUUAUUAUUGUGCGAUUGAUUUUAUGUAUUCUUCAUUGAUAAUCAUGAUUUCUUGCAUAAAUUUGAGUGACUAAUCUCCUUAGCUAGGGUUGUGGGAAUCCUGGCGGAUUAGGAACGUAGCGGAAGCGUGAAACAUAUUUGUUCUAGGGUUAUGCAUGUAUUCUAAUUCUUCUUCAUUACAACUGAUUUCAAGUACUUGCAACAUCUUGAGAUAAAAUCCUGUAUUCACAUUCUUUUAAUAACCAAGAAAGCUUGUGAUUGGGAAAAGAAAAUUAGGACAGUAAUUUAGGAUUUCUACCUCCAUCUUAUAGUCCAAGCAUUUUAUCUUAUCACUUUGGCCAAUAACCAAGGAUCAAGUGAACUGGGGCCGUAGCAAGGGGCAACUAAGUGACAUCCGACGACGAUAACCAAGUCAAAGGGUGAGAUUUAUCUUCGCGCUCAAAAGGUGGUUGAUAAUACAUAGCUUGUAGGCUUUGUAUGCAUAGCAACAGAACAGUGGGUUGAUCACUGAAAAACUACAAAGUUAAGAUGUCAGGGGGAACACAGAUCUAGCGUUCGUCUCUGAAUGAUUACAACUCAAAAGCACUCAAGAAUUGGUUACUCUUUCAUACUGAUAACAAAAUUCCCGAUUUACUUUCUUGCACUGCUCAAGGAUUAAACCAAAAAAAGCAACUGCUCACGUUUUCCCUGUGGGAUCGACAACCUAGUUGGGUUAUUAUAUUUGCAUCGACUGGAUUAUACUUAUGAUUGAGGUAUAGUUUUGGGCGACAUCAAAUUUUGGCAUUGUUACCGGGGUCUACGGUUUGAGGAGUAAUUGGAAUUGGUGAAGUUAUUGAGUUUUUAGUUUUCUAUUUUUGAUUUGGCAUAUGCCGGUGUAUGCUAAGCACUAGGAGUAGAGGCAAUCCCUUACCCUCUUUUGAUCUAGAUCCAUAAUGGAUCCUUCAAAUACCUAGAAAUAUGUCAGGACAAGUUCGUGAAAGGGUUCAAGAUCCCUCACUUAUGGACCUAAAUGCAAAAAUUUCGUGUGAUCCACUAGACACGCAAAAUCUUAUAGACAUUCAGACACAACAACUGUUGGAGCAAGAACGGAAAAAAGCUAAAGAAGCUAGACUGGCUGCUGAAGUCAAAGUAGCAUAACGAGGUGGAUUAGCCAAACCAAGACAGGUUAUUGAUCAUCGAGUUCAGAGGGGCAGAGUUCCAUAUAUUCUAAUAAAUCAACAUUUAGAUCCAUAUGAUGAGGAUGAUGAGGACAUAAUCUAUGUUGACCCUGCUGAGACAGGAGCUAUUAUUUCUCUUGCAUUAGCCCCUAAUGUGAAGUUCAAUAUUACUAGUGCUCUGAUCCAAUUGUUGAAUCUGAAAGGUGUAUUUUCAGGAGCAGCUAAGGAUGGCGGGAUCAUGCACCUUACUAAUUUUCUUGGGAUCUACACAAAUUAUAACCUCCCAGGGGUUAAUUAGGAAACAUUGAGAUUGAGGGUGUUCCCCUUUUCUCUAACUAGAGAAGCAUCUUUAUGGCCAGGGGAACUACCAAGAGGAUCUAUCACAAUGUGGAAUGAGUUGAAGAAAUAAUUUUUGAGCAGAUUCUUUCCUCCUGCACUGAUGUUAUAGCUGAAGGAUGAAAUUUAUAAUUUCAGACAAUUAUCUACAAAAUCGAUGUAUGAGGCAUGGUUUAGAUUUAAGAAGAACUUGAGCUUAGUGAUAAACUACAGAAUCAUAGGAUCUAAUCUAUCACAAAUUUUCUAUAGAUCACUAAGUGAAAGUUCGAGAGCCAUGAUAGAUACUAUCUAUGGAGGUUCAUUUAUGCGUCUUCAUUAGGAUGCUACACAGGAAUUUCUUGAUGACAUGGCAGUCACCAAUAGAGGAUGGCAUACCAGAGACUCUGACUAGGGUAAUGGUACAUAUGCUAUUGGAGCGACAAACACAUAUAGUGUCGGUAAUGAUAUGGUUGCAUAAGAGGUGGCACAACUUCGGACUGAUAUUGGUUUACUCACAAAAUAGUUUUCUUUAUUAAAUGCUGCAAAAGUGAACACAAUAGAAGCACAGGGAUUCGCACCCAAACCAUUCGAGAUUGCAUCUGAAGAAGAGACAAACUAUUUUAAUCAUAGAUUGGCGAAUUUUCAAGCCCAAGGACAAGAGAAUCAAGGUCGGAACUAUUAUAAUAAUAGAUAAAAAGAUAAGAGCAGAGACAGAGAUGGUGAUUGGUGACAUAAGGAUGAUUAUAAGGAGAAGAGUGACAAAUACAUUCCACCAAGCAGCCGAGAUACAGAGUCUAAGGUUGAGGCUAUCUUGUCUAAGCUAGUGAAAAGGCAACAAAGUCAAGAAAAUUCUCUGAAAGAUAUAAAAGCAGAUUUGUGUGGACUCAAUCAAAAAGUUGAAUCACAUGCCAUAAUAAUUAGGUAAUUGGAGCAACCGUUUGGGCAGAUGUCAUCCACAAUAAAUCAAAGACAGCCUGACACUCUUCCAAGUAAUACAAUAGUAAAUCUCACAAAUGGCAGCCUUUUUCAUGCUAUUACUACUCGGAGUGGUAAGGUUACUGUAGAUCCACCUACACCUACUGUUGAUGAGAAGAAGCAAAAUGAUGAUGAGUGAGCUGAUGUGGGAAGCAGCAGCAAGCAGAGUAUAAAAGAUGAGAAGGCUGCAGGUUUGAAACCUAUUCUAAGGCCACUUUCUCCCUAUCCACAAAAACUGCAAAAGAGACAAAAAGAGGUUAAGUAUCAGAAAUUUCUAUCCAUGUUAAAAGAGAUGGCAAUUAAUAUACCAUUGGUUGAAGCAUUGGAGAAGAUGCCUAGAUAUGCAAAGUUUAUAAAAAAGCUGAUCACGAAGAAAAGAGCAGUCAGUUAUGAGCCGAUUGAUAAUGUCCAUUAUUGCAGUGCUGUAGCCACUAGGUCAUUGGUGGAGAAGAAGGAGGAUCUUGGUGUAGUCACUAUACCUUACACCAUUGGAUAUUUCCACUUUGCAUGUGCUUUGUGUGAUUUAUGUGCUAGUAUUAACUUCAUGCCAUUUGCAGUGUUCAAGCAAUUGGGGUUGGAUGCUCCAAAACCCACCACCAUGAGGCUAGUCAUGGCAGACACAAGUAUGAAGAAGCCAGUUGGUAUCCUUUAUGAUGUUCUAUUAAAAAUAGCUUCUUUUAUUUUUCAUGCUCACUUUGUUAUUUUAGAUGAUGAAGUGGACUUUUAAGUCCUAAUUAUUCUUGGCAGACCUUUUAUGGAUAAAGGUAGAAUGUUGAUUGAUCUGAAGUGGGGACAUCUGAUGUUGAGAUUCAAUGACGAGCUGGUGAUAUCCGACAUAUGCAAAUCCAUAAAGCAACCUGAUUAGUUGAGGGUGAUAUCUGUGAUUAAUGUGGAUGACGAAGAAGCAGAUUCAUUCCAUAAUGUUGAUGUGGUGACUUUGUGGGAUGAUAGUUUUUAUGCAGUUGUUCCUAUUGAAGAAACACUAGGUAUUGAAGCACUUGCAGUUGUGCUCAUGAAUUUUAACUCUGAAGGCAUAGAAGAAUAUGAGGAGAUUGUUGGUGCAUUGUAUGGUACUGGUUGUAAUUUCACACCAAAAAAUCUUGAUCUAAAUUUAAAGAAUAGAACAACUCCACCCACUCGCCCAUCUAUUAAGGAGCCACCGAUGUUAGAGUUGAAAGCUUUCCCAUCUCACUUGUAAUAUGUAUUCUUGGGGGCCAAUAACACUUUGCCAGUCAUUAUUGCAGCGGACCUGAAACAGUCAGAAGUGGAAGUAUAUUAUCAGUUUUACUAAAUUUUAAGAGGGCCAUUAGAUGGUCCAUUACAGAUAUUGUGGGCAUUCCACCUGGUUUAUGUACUCACAAAAUUCAUCUUGAGCUGGAUUGUGUUCCAUCUAUUGAGCACCAGUUCCACCUUAAUCCUCCUAUGUAAGAGUUGGUUAAGAAAGAGAUAACCAAGUGAUUGGAUGCUGGUGUGGUUUUUCCCAUUACUGACAGCAAGUGGGUAAUCUUGGUUCUAUGCUUUCUAAAGAAAGGUGGAAUAACUGUUGCACCUAAUAAGAAGAAUGAGAAGGUGCCUAUGAGACCAGUCACUAGAUGGAGAGUUUGCAUGGACUAUAGAAAGUUGAAUGCAUGGACUCAGAAGGACCCUUUUCCUAUGCUGUCAUGGAUCAGAUGGUCGACAGGUUAGUAGGCAGAGGAUGGUAUUAUUUUCUUAAUGGAUACUCGGGUUAUAAUUUUAUUACUAUUGCAUUAGAAGACCAAGAAAAAACCACUUUUAUAUGUCCUUAUGGGAUCUUUGCAUUCAAACGAAUGCCAUUUGGGCCAUGCAAUACCCCAACCACAUUUUUGAGAUGUAUGAUGUUUAUUUUCUCUGAUAUGGUGGAAGACACCAUUGAAGUUUUUAUGGAUGAUUUUUCAGUGAUGGGUGACUCCUUUGAUGGUUGUCUCAUUCACCUGGAAAAGGCUCUACAAAGAUGUGAAGAAUGCGACUCGGUACUCAAUUGGGAGAAGUUCCAUUUCAUGGUGAAAGAAGGAAUUAUGCUUGGGCACAAGAUUUUGAAGAAGGGUAUAGAGGUUGAUCGAGAAAAGAUUGAGAAAUUACCUUAUCCAAUUUCUAUGAAGGGAGUUAGAAGUUUUAUUGGUCAUGUAGGUUUUUAUAUAAGAUUUAUCAAGGAUUUCUCAAAGAUUGCACGUCUUUUUUGCAAACUUCUUGAGAAGGAUGUAAAAUUUAAUUUUGAUGAUGCAUGCAUGAAGGCUUUUGAAAGCCUUAAAGAGAAGUUGGUGACUGCUCCGAUCAUUGUGUCUCCUGAUUGGUCCGCAAUUUUUGAGAUUAUGUGUGAUGCUAGCGAAUUGGCCUUAGGGGUUGUACCGGGAUAGUAAAAAAAAGAUCCUUCAUCCCAUCUACUAUUCUAGGAAGGCUCCAAAUCCUGCUCAAAAGAAUUAUACUAUCACGGAGCAAGAAUUAUGGUUGUGGUUUUUGCCUUUGAAAAGUUUAGUUCUUACUUGAUUGGGACCAAGGUGAUAUUACACACUGAUCAUAUAGCAUUACAGUCCCUAAUAUCUAAGAAGGAUGCAAAGCCGAGGUUGAUUCGAUGGGUGCUAUUAUUAUAAGAAUUUAACUUCAAAGUGAAGGACAGAAAGGGCAGAGAUAAUCUAGUUGCAGAUCACUUGUCUAGACAAGGGUAGGUAGCUAUGCUGAAGGUUGCUACUGGAGUGGAGAUUGAUGAUAGUUUGUCGAAUGAACAUAUAUUACCAGCCUCCUAAGAUCUUAUUCCAUGGUUUGCAGACUUUGCAAACUACCUAGCCAACGAUCUAGUUCCAAAAAAUCUUUCAUAUUAGCAAAGAUAGAAAUUCAUGCAUGAGGUGAGAAAGUUUUUUUUGGGAUUAACCUUAUAUUUUCAAAAUUUAUGCAGAUGGAAUCAUUAGUAGGUGCAUACCUGAGGAGGAGAUGAUGAGCCUACUUGAGGCUUAUUAUUCAUUGCCAGUUGGAGGUCAUUAUUGUGGGGCCCAUACAGCUUAUAAGAUCCUGUAAUGCAGCUAUUAUUGGCCGACAAUAUACAAAGAUGCUCAUGACUAAGCAGUUACUUGUAAUUAAUGCCAACGACAAAGUACUAUUUCUAGAAGACAUGAAUUACCUAUAACUCCCAUUCUUGAAUUAGAAGUGUUUGAUGUAUGUGGCAUAGAUUUCAUGGGACCUUUUGUGAGUUCAGAUGGCAUUAAAUACAUACUUGUGGCUGUUGACUAUGUUUCAAAGUGGGUGGAAGCAAUUGCACUUCCCAAUAAUGAAGCAAGGAAUGUCACAACAUUUUGAGAAAAAAUAUCUUUUCACGAUUUGGUAUGCCACGUGCUACUAUUAGUGACGGAGGGUCACAUUUUUACAAUUAUCUAUUCAAGAGUUUGCUUGAUAAAUAUGGAGUGAAUCAUAAUGUAGCAACACCUUAUUAUCCAUAUACUAGUGGACAAGUCGAAGUAUCCAAUAGAGAAAUCAAGUCCAUAUUAGCAAAGACUGUUAAUGCCAAUAGGACUGAUUGAGCUAAGAAGUUAGAUGAUGCAUUAUGGGCUUACCAUACAACUUAAAAACCCCCCAUAGAUGCUUUAAUUUAUCAACUUGUGUAUGGAAAGGCUUGCCAUUUACCAAUUGAGCUUGAAUAUAAGGCACUAUAGGCAUUGAAGAAGCUGAAUUUAGAGUGAAAGGAUGCAACUAAGUCAAGAUUGAAUAACAUCAAUGAGUUGGAUGAAUUCUGAUUCUGCGCAUAUGAAAGUUCAGCAAUUUACUAGGAGAAGAUGAAGCUGUAUCAGGAUAGAAAAAUUGAGAAGUGGGUUUUUAAGAAAGUUGGCCAAGUGCUACUAUAUAACUUUAGGCUUCACUUGUUUCCUGGAAAGUUGAGGUCUAGAUGGCAUGGUCCAUUUGUAGUUUCAAAAGUUUAUCCCUAUGGUGCUUUAGAACUACAGAAGGAUGGUGCACAAAUAUUCAAGGUAAAUGGUCAUAGAGUAAAACGCUAUUUGGGAAAUACAGAAAAGGUGAAUGAAAUAGCUGAUAUUAACCUUGACGAAGGCUGAGUAGUCAAGGCAACUCCAUCUUGCCGCGAUGUUAAAUCAAGUGCUACAUGGGAGGCAACCCAUGAGUCUAGUUGUUGAAAGCUGAGUAUCCAUUUAGACACGUCGUGUCGCGAUGUUAAAUCAAGCAUUGUGUGGGAGGCAACCCAUGUUUUUGUACUUAUUUCUUUCACAGGGUAAUAUGUUGGUUCAAUGUGCAGGACUAAAAGAGUUCAAACACAUAUCCUAAGGAGUUAGAAAGGUCUUAUACAGACUCUUCACGAGCCGUAUCUAUAUGGUACGAAUCAUGGGUUGGAGUCAUAAUGACCUGGGAGAUGAAUCAGAAUAAAAAAUUAAGUCUCUAGUUACGGAUCGUGACCAAGAGUCGUACCCACUCCAGAAUCCAGGUAAGAAUCCUAGGCCAUACGAGUCAAGGAAAUGACCUUUAAGCCUGGGUAUGAACCGUAUCGACAAUUCGUACCCUAUCUUACUAGGUCAGUACUCGGGUUGACCUGAUCCAAAAUUUAACUAAAAAAAAAAAUAUUGACCUGAUAGGACACCCGAGGCUUCUCACCUGUACUUGCACCAUUUUCUUUAAAAUCUUAAACUCAGAUCCUAAUGAUUAAAUUAUUUUCGACUGAAUGUAACUACCAACAACUUUAAUUUCUCGAUUUGGUGUGAUUUUUAACUUUAAUUUGAGGAUUUUGAGAUUUAAAAUUGGAAUCCUCUACAAACACAUACCAAGUAAGUUCUCAAGUCUAAUUUUUCUAUAUUGUACCUUGUAAAGUGUAGUAUGAGGUAUUGACAACUUGGUUUAAGUGAAAUUUCUUCAAAUAUCGAUUGUUGGUACCCUAUAUUUCGAUUUUUGAUUUUGAAAAUGGAGAAUAGGGAUAAACUGGGGUUUGUACUUGGAAUUUUGUGUGUUGAUGUAUUUUGAAAUAAUGGAUAUAUCUGAAUAAAGUAAUGGGUAGAUUGGGAAUUUCAUCGGAGUCAAACUUUAAAAGUUGGACUUCUAUGUUGCAGUGGAUACGAGACUCUUUACAACUCAUACCCACCAGUACAGGAGUCGUAAUGAGACUCGUACCCACUUACAACAUGGAAAUCUAAAAAAUUCAAUGUUCUGGAAUGGAUACAACUCAACCUUACGAGUUGUAUCCAAAUGUUAUGACUCGUACAUAUAUAUCAUACCUACCUGGGAAGAAAAUAGAUUGAACAAAAGUUUUUGACCAGCUUACGACUGUUGGCACGAGUCAUAACCAGAUGGUACGAAUGGUGAGGAGGAGUUGUAAGCUACCCAGUAAAUAAUUAUAAUGUGCUGUUUGGGUCACGACUCAGGUAUACGAGUCGUACCCAGUGGUUACGAAUGAUAACCAACUCUCGUACCCAACUAAACUAAGGCACAUUAAACUUUUAUUUUCAAUUUUGCUUUUCUUUUCUUUUCUUAGUAACUAACUUUAGAAUAUUUGUAGGAAAAAUGCCUCCAAAGUAUGCUUCUUCUUCUAAAAAUGUGGCAAAGAAAGGAAAUAAACAAAAGCAAGUCAAAAGUGAAGAAACUAGUGCAUUCGUAAGUUUGACUAAAAGUAGAGGAGAGGAGUAUACUAGGACAUCUUCCAAGAAAGCUUUACAAAAAGCAAAGGCAGCAGCUAAAUUUAAGGGGAAGAAUGCCAUUACCCAAGACUCUGAUACUCCAUCACUGAAAUCACUAAGAAGAAAGAAUGUGAUUGUCUCCCCUCCACAUACACCAGUACCAAGUGACGACUAUGAUGAUGAGGUUGAAUUUAGAUUAGUCGAGGAGACUACAGAGUAAAUCCAUGGUCACAAGGUGGAUGUACUACCGAUAGCUAGACAGGAACCCCCAUUAGCAUUAGCCCUUGUUUCGAUGCCCAUCGUUGAAUGAUGGGGGUACCCGGAUAUGUAGGUGACCUUUAAUAUAUGGUUGUCUCAGCUACCAAAUGCGAAUGUUAAGAGAGUAUUAUAUGAGCAGCGGUGAAUGACGACCACAGGUAUGGGUGAAUUGCCUAAGUUUGCUGAAUGUUUCAGAUAAUAUGGCUUGGACUGAAUGAUGAUUGAACUGGGUACAUAUAGUGAGGUGCUUAUUCAGGAAUUUUAUGUAGCUUACAAGGGUGACCUAAUGCGGUUAUAUCCAUAGGGCAUGCUAUGAAAGGGAGGAGAACCUAUUACCUCCUUGGUUAUUGGAGGUGUUAGUGUCGACAUUUCUCCCAGACUACUGGGAGAUUUUUUUAUGGGCCAGCAUAUCAAGCUCCGAAUAACACAGCCGAGCUGGACUACAAAAUAAUAGAGAUGAGGAAGAUUAUCAACCAAAUUUUAGGUACGGAUAAAAAGAUGGUGAUGUUUUGAUGUAUAGCUUAGAGGAUUGCUGCAUAUAGUGAGUAUGCCACUUGGGUUGCAGGUAGUAUUAGGGAUUUACAGCAAAUCAAGAAGAAUUACCUCACUUUUGAGGGUAUGGUAGGGUGGACUAUAGCCCGUUACAGGCUAUGUCUGACUACAGGUAAUGAUAUCCUGAGAUCAUUCUAGGCUGCGAUGAUAGAUAGUUUUACACGUGGAUUUGCAUUUGAUGUUGGUUAGUUCCUUGCCUAAGAGUUGAAAAACAGGGCUGUUGCAGAGCAGAAGGCAUUGCUAGAUUACCCUUACAUGAUCACAUAAAUAUGUUUAGCUGCGGGGGUAUUGAAGAUUCCGGGCAUUGAUGAGAUGAUAGAGGCCCAUCAGACUUUUGAUAUCGAGCUUAUUUUUGACGUAGCCAACCCACUAGAUCAACCUAUGAGGCAGACAACAGAGGCUAUGGCAGGAGCUUUCCCAGAAGAUGAUUAAACAGAAGCUACUGCUACUGCUGAGGCCACUAAGACAGGUGCGUGGACUGAGACUGCACCCACAGAUAAAGCAAGUACUUUUAGUGCUCCACCGCUAGUUCAGUUUGUAUGACCUAGGCCAAGAGAUAUGCCCUCUGGUGUUAUGAUGAUUUCACAAGCUGCGUGGACAGAGGUAGUGAUUUAGUUAGCUACACUUUUUGCAAAGUUAAACAACAUGGAAGGUGAAGUACAAAGUUGGGAUGAAACGAUAGCUAGAGGUAUCGGAUAGGCGUGUGUAGGACCACCUUGACGUAUUUGAGUCAACGAUCACUCAACAAUUAGGGAGUGGGCAGAUGCCCAAUAUUGCUGCUAUUCAAGUAGAGAUUACUGAUAUAAAAGGUAUGGUUGCUGAGUUGUUCGAGAGGUUGGUGAUUGUUGAGACCAUUAUAGAAACUAUGAUUCCCACGGUCGAGGUACUAAAUAUUUAGGAAAUCUCGGUGGAUGAGAAAAUUAUGCAGACUAGCCAGAAAGAGUAAAAAAUAAGAGAAAGAAAAGAAAGAAAAGAAGAAAGUGGAAAGAGAUACUAAGAAGGAGAGAUGUCAUGGCAGCCAAGAUGGGCAGGACCAAGAGAUGGCUAGUGAAUCUGGCGGAGUAAGAGAUACAACUCCUGAUGCUGAGGGGGUCGAUGCUGUGCCCUCGCCUAUUGUUGAUCCAGUCUUGGUUGGAAUAAUUUUUGAUGAGAGUGGGACUCGAUUUGAGGUCCCACAUACAAAAGUUGAUGCUACGGUGCCUUGAGCUUCUAGGUAUGACCCUUUUUCCUUACUCUAUCUUAUUUUUAUAACACUGAGAACAGUGCAAUAUUCUUAAGUUGGGGGUGGGGUACCAAAAAUUUUUGGAGCAGUUUGAAAAUUUUUAGAUGUAGCUAAAACUGAAAAUCUGUUAUGACUUGUAGGUGUGAUACAGGCAGCUGAGAUAGGGAGUAGAUCAGCGCGCCUAUGGCAAAAAAUAUUUUGAAUUUUUAACUAUGAUUUUUAUGGAUUUUGAAAUUAUGGGUUGUAUUUAAAGAUUUUGGUGCUAAUUUUGAUUUUUGUGAUCGAGUGUGACACUGCUGAUUAUUGUGAAUUAUUAAGCCGAUUUUGUUAGAAGCAGUGUUAACUGUGUUGAAGAAUUAAAAAUGUUGAGCCCUCUCAAAAUUUUAUUGUUUAAAUAAUCACAUGAUUUGUAUAUUUGUGUCAAAACUGUUGGGUAUCUGAUAAUGACAUUAGGAUUAGGGAUAGUAUAGGUAGGGACAAAACAAGUGUAGUGUUGGAUAUCUGCUACUUAGUAAUAUAGCCCUGUGCAAUUGUACGUAAGGUUUACUGAGUUCCCGGUUGUGUUGGGAUCUAGAACUUGCCCAGUUGCUUUUACUAAGGUCUAGGAUAGUUAAGUAUGAAGUGAUCAUAGGACCUUUUUGUAUGAGUCUACUUCAGCCUAAAAUGCCUACCAAAUAAGUAAAUCCCCUUGGUCCAAAUGUUUGAGCCUUAAUAAGCCAAUUUUUCUUCUUACACCUAUUGCAUUCCCAUUUAGUUGAAAGAAAUCUAUUUUUGACCCUGAUCCUUCUAUGGAUAAUGUGCACCUCAACUCAGGAAAAUAGUUUAAGUUGAGGGUGGCUAUUAUGGGGUGCGUAAGAGCAAACACGUAUGAAAAAAAAGGUUUAAGAAAAAUAGCUGAAAUAUGGGCAGGUACGAAAAGAAAGAAAAGUGCCAAGUAUUGUAAAGCAAAAGAAAAGUUAAGCACUAGAAAAUGUUAAGCCUGACCAGUUUAGAAUAUGCUUAAAAAGAUAAAAGAGAUAUAAGGGUAAAAAUAAAUUAAAAAGUGGAAAGUACCCCAAGAAAAAUGUAGUGUCAAGGAGACGUAGUCACUAAAAGAAUACCAAAAUAUAUCCCACCAGCCCCUAUCCUACGUUAUAAGCCAAAGAAAGUCCUAUAGUGAUUUUACCAUGACUGUCUGAAAACUUAGGAAAAGAGCAUAAGGACAGCCUAUGGUAUUCUCUGCACACGGUGAUACUUCUUUGUUAGAUCCCAAAAGAAGUUGAUAUAUGAAGAGAGAAUGAGAUUUCUUUGGCUGUGAGUCCACAUGGAUUAUUUUGCUAGGUUUCUAAAUUAUUUGACAUGUGUAAAAUAUAUCUGUGCCCAAUUGUCUAUUGAUAAUGUAAUGCCAUCAUCAGAUCCCUUCAUGUUUCUACAUGAGUUGAGAUUGCUAUACGCAAGUGCGAGUUGAAAAUAAAGGGGGGAACUACAAAAUUGAAAUUAAAUUCAAAAUCACUUCCAUGGGUUGUUGUAUGAGAUCUUCCUGUUUUGAGCAUUACCUCGAGGGUAGAAAAUAGUAUUUGGUUUUGUUUGCCUGAGGACAUGCAAAAAUCUAAGUUGAGAGUGUUGAUGUGGCAUGGAAACACGACACUUUUGAUGCUUAAAAUCGAGAAUUUAUGCAUGAACUUAGGGUGUUUGAUUAGAUAUGAUGCACUUUAGUGUGAAUUGCAGGUAAAACAGGUCAAAAAUAGUACUUGAAAGUAAAGAGAAGAAAAGACCUAAAAAAGACAAACUUUGAUCAGUAUACGAGUCAUCCCCUAAGUCGUAACAAAUCAAUACGACUCAUAUGCUGAAUCAUAAGUAUAACAGAACCAAAAGAGAAAUUGAAGAACCAAAUCUGAGGAAGAUACAACUCAAGUAUCUCAGUCAUAAUGCAUGAUAUGAGUCGUAAGCAUAACACAAUCCAAGAUACUAUCUAGGAUUGAAGUGUCAGAUGUAUACGAGUUGAAAGUCUGAGUACGACUCAUAUCGAGAUGUUGUAUGCAAACCAGUGAUCAAGAUCUGAAAGGACUAAAGUCCUAUGUGGAUACGGAUGAAGAAUCUGAGUUGUACACAUGGUUACAACUCAUGAGUUGGGAUCGUAAGCUGAGUAGAGAGUUGAAGCCAUGGGCAGACUAGGUGCUGGAUUGGUUAUGACAAGGUAGGGUACGACUCGUAAGAUGAGAAUAUGAGUGAUGACUGAGUUGUACCAACUGCCAACUUAACUUUACCUUUCCUAUUUUUAAUAGGAAUUUACUGUUAUUUUGAGAUAUUAUAAGAACCCUAGGGUUUGUCUUUUAUUAGGUUAGUUUCUAUUACAUUCUAUAACAUACUUCAACAUACUUUACAAUUGUUUUUGAGAUUUUAGGGUUUUAUUCAAUUCAAGACUUUGAAUUUUAUUCAUAUUAUUAUUGUACGAUUGAUUUUAUGUAUUCUUUAUUGAUAAUCAUGGUUUGUUGCACAAACAUGAGCGGCUAAUCUCCUUAGCUUGGGUUGUGGGAACCCUGGUGGAUUAGAAAUAUAGUAGAAGUGUGAAACACAUCGGUUCUAGGGUUAUGCAUGUAUUCUAAUUCUUCUUCGUUAAAACUGAUUUCAAGUACCUACAACAUCUUCAUAUAAUAACCUAUAUUCACAUUCUUUCGACAACCAAAAAGCUUGUGAUUUGGAAAAGAAGAUUAGGACAAUAAUUUAGGAUUUCUACCUCCAUCUUAAAGUCCACGCAUUCCAUAUUAUCACUUUGUCCGAUAACCAAGGAUCAAGUGAACUGGGGCCGUAGCACAGGGCAACUAAGUGACAUCCGACAACGAUAACCAAGUCAAAGAGUGAUAUUUAUCUCAGCACUCAAAAGAUGGAUGAUAAUAUAUAGCUUGUAGGCUUUAGAUGCAUAGAUAAAAAACAGUGGGUUGAUCACUAGAAAAGUACAGAGUUAAGACUUCAGGGGGAACACAGACCUAGCGUUCGUCUCUGAUUGAUUACAUCUCAAAAACACUAAAGAAUUGGCUACUCUUCUAUAUUGAUAACAAAAUCCCCCAUUUAAUUUCCGGCACUUCUUAAGGAUUAAACUAAAACAAAUCGACCCUAACCUAGUUGGGUUAUUAUAUUUGCAUCAACCGUAUUAUAACUCUGAUUGAGGUGUAGUUUUGGGCAACAUCAGAAAUCAUCGCUGAUUGUUGUAAAUUCUAUUAAGGAUAAUUCUCCAAAUAAUAUAAAAAUGAAGAAAUUUUCUAGACAAGAGAUAGAAUAGACCAAGAAAAUAUUCAAAGGCAAGUGCUGCAAUUGCAGUGAUGCUGGUCACAAAGCUCUAAAUAGUCAAGUUCUAAAUAAGAACAAGAAAAGAAAUUAGAUAAACAUGUUGGAAGAAACUAAAAAGAUUGAAAAUCCAUAUGCUAUGAUCUCUGAAUGCAAUCUAGUUGGAAAUCCAAAUGAAUGGGGGUUUGAUUCAGGAGCCACUAGACAUGUUUGUGUAGACAAAGAAGUUUUUUGCUACUUAUGAUACCGCUGGUUUCAAAGAAGUGAUUUUCAUGGGAAAUAAUGCAAUAACCAAGAUUAAAGGAAGUGGAAAGAUAUUCCUAAAAAAGACUUCCGACAAGGUAUUGACUCUCAAUAAUGUUCUCUAUGUUCCUACUAUUAGGUUGAACUUAGUGUCGGCAAUACUUAUUUAAAAAUGGCUUUAAAUAUGUGUUUAUUUUGGAGAAAGUUAUAAUAUGCAAGAAUGAAACGUACAUAGGAAAGGGCUGCCUCAGUGAGGGCCUUUUCAAACUUGAUGGGAUGGUUGUUGAACUGUAGAAAGUUUAGGCUUAUUUGUACUUGCUAGAGUCAAAUGAUUUGUAACAUAGUUAUUUUGGACAUGUCAUAUACAAAAUCUUGUGAAAACUAAUUAGUUUGGAAGUGUUGACUAACUUUGAGUGCAAUAAAUCAAAGUAUCAAACAUGUGUGGAAUCAAAGUAUGCCAAGAAUCUAUAUAAGUCCGUUGAAAGAACUUCCAAUACCUUAGACUUAAUCUAUACAGAUAUUUGUGAUAUGAAGUCAACACCAUCUCAUGGUGGAAGAAAGUAUUCUACAACUUUUAUUAAAGAUUUCACUAAAUACUGUUAUGUUUAUUUUCUAAAUGGUAAGGAUGAAGUAAUAGAAGUGUUUAGGCAAUAUGUAAGACCCUUAAAAUUUCAAUCAUUUUAUUUUUGAUCUUCGUGUAUUCAUAAUGUCAAUUCUUUACUUGAAUCAUGCUUAUGGGUGUUAAAAUUUUAUUGUGCAGUGAUGCUGGUCACAAAGCUCUAAAUAGUCAAGUUCUAAAUAAGAACAAAAAAAUAAAUUAGAUAAACCUAUUGGAAGAAACUGAAAAGAUUGAAAAUCCAUAUGCUAUGAUCACUGAAUGCAAUCUAGCUGGAAAUCCAAAUGAAUGGUGGUUUGAUUCAGGAGCCACUAGACAUGUUUGUGUAGACUAAGAAGCUUUUUGCUACUUAUGAUACUGCUGGUUUCAAAAAAGUUAUUUUCAUGGGAAAUAAUGUAAUAACCCAGAUUAAAGGAAGUGGAAAGAUAUUCCUAAAAAAGACUUCCGACAAGGUAUUGACUCUCAAUAAUAUUCUCUAUGUUCCUACUAUUAGGUCGAACUUAGUGUCGGUAACACUUAUUUAAAAAUAGAUUUAAAUAUGUGUUUAUUUUGGAGAAAUUUAUAAUACGCAAGAAUGAAACGUACAUAGGAAAGGGCUACCUCAGUGAGGGCAUUUUCAAACUUGAUGUGAUGGUUGUUGAACUGUAGAAAGUUUAGGCUUAUUCGUACUUGCUAGAGUUAAAUGAUUUGUAACAUAGUUAUUUUGGACAUGUCAUUUACAAAAUCUUGUGAAAACUAAUUAGUUUGGAAGUGUGGACUAACUUUGAGUGCAAUAAAUCAAAGUGUCAAACAUGUGUGGAAUCAAAGUAUGCCAAGAAUCUAUAUAAGUCCGUUGAAAGAACUUCCAAUAACUUAGACUUAAUCCAUACAGAUAUUUGUGAUAUGAAGUCAACACCAUCUCAUGGUGGAAGAAAGUAUUCUACAACUUUUAUUAAAGAUUUCACUAAAUACUGUUAUGUUUAUUUUCUAAAUGGUAAGGAUGAAGCAAUAGACGUGUUUAGGAAAUAUGUAAGACCCUUAAAAUUUCAAUCAUUUUAUUUUUGAUCUUCGUAUAUUCGUAAUGUCGAUUUUUGACUUGAAUUAUGCUUAUAGGUUUUAAUAGGGUAAUUUAAAAAAGUUUUGAAAUUUUCAAAAGGGGUUCAAGGUCAUUUUAGGACUCCAAGGUAGUGGUGGUCCACAAUAUCACCAUGUCACGGAGGUUACCCUCUGCGAUAUCGGCGUGGCAUGAAGGAUAAUCUUUGCAAUAACAGCGUGCACUUCCAAGGACACGUAUUUUGGGUGAAUUAUGGCUGAAUCACGUGUUAUUGGGUAUAUAUAAGGGUGAGAAAUUGACCCUUUUAACUCUUGGACGCGCAUUUUAAUUCUGUGAAACUUUCCCAACCUGGACCCCUGGCGUGACGUGGCGCUAUCGUGCCGUGUCACUGGAAUUUGAUAACUCUGAAUUUGAGCCUUGAUGCAAUGUGCCAUAAUCUUAAAGGCUCACUGGAUUUUGACGAUUGCUAUUUUGGCUGGCUCCGCGAUGCGUUGAUGGCUCAGGUGGCAUACUGUUUUACUAAAAUGGCUCUAACUCUUCACUCGGGUGUCAGAUUUGGGAGAAUUUGGUAUCUAUGGAAAGCUUAUUCAAUUUUCCACAUGAUAAAAAGUGAAAAUAUUGAAAAUACUACAUGUAUAAAAGUGGAUUCAUCUUUGAAACAAGUCUUUAAAAUUUCUAAGACAAUCUUAAGUUAGGUAGAAGUACGGGGUAUUACAUACCCUUCAGUUAAAAAGAUCAAACAAUCUCAUUCACUUCUCUAAUACCUAAACAAAAAAAGCUUAGGUUUUUUACUGUUCAUUCGUCAUCCGGGCUCCAAACUUCAAAUUGACUUUGAAUUCUUAUGUGUUUUAGGCAUGUUUCUUUUCCCUAAAUUUUAAUUUUACAUUAUGGAAUUAAUUAAAUAAGUUUUUACAUGAUUUAAAUUGUGGGUUUUAAAAUUGGUUUGAGGGGUUUUAGUGGUUCCUUUUUGAAUUUCGUUUUCCAUAUUUUGAAUUGAUUAUUCAUGCUUUAAAUUUAUAUUUUUGGGACUGAAUUGAUUUAUUAUUUAAAUGGUUGAAAUGGGGGACACCAGUUUCUCUAAGUUGGAUGAAUUUUGUCUUGGAAUUGCAUGAACCUCAAUCGAUGUUGUAAAUUUGAUUUUUUAUUAUGAAAAAUUGCACUGUUUAACUUGUUUUGAAACCUAAUGCAUUGUGUUAGUGGAUGAUUGGACAUAAAAAUGGAUUUGGAUUUUCUUGUUGUCCAUGAUUUGGAUUUUAAUUGAACUUGAGAGUUCAAUGUUUUUAUCUGAAUUGGUUUGACAUGUUUAAUUUAGCUUGCAAGCUUAUUGGCAUGAUGAUACCAAGUGGUAAAUUCCAUAAUGAAUGACUCCUAGGUUAAUGGUAUGAGUUAUGUGUAAAUUAAUUUUAAUUUUGGCUUAAAGGGGGUUGUGUAGCUUAUCAUGAAGCUGUAAGCCUCGGGGGGACAUAUACGUGAAACCACAUUUGCCGGCUUUAGGAGUCUAUAUGACCGUGUACUAGAUACACACUUCAUAUAUAUAUAUAUAUCUAGGAUGGCUAUUGUGCAGUGUAUCUUUGGUUUUACCUUAAAAUUUCCUCGGUUCAUGUAGCAACAUGCACCGAGCCUUUUCAGUGGGCGGAGCUAAAUCCAUAUAGCCCGUGGGUGCCUUUAGGACAGCUCGAGCUACAUGUCUAGGUUAAUGGUUUUAAAAAUAUGAUGUUCAUGACCCUUAUCCUAUCCCAGCAUCUUAUAUAUAUAUAAUGUUCAUGAACCUUAUCCUAUGCCAGAUGAGGAUAAUGGUUUUAAAAAUAUAAUGUUCAUGACCCCUAUCCUAUGCUAGGUAAGGGUCCCACCAUUCUCCUUUGGGGACAUUGCCAGAUGAGGGUCGCUCAUAGAUUUUCCUUAUUAGUGGCCCGGUAUUGACACCCUUCUAAUUGGGAGUUACAGAUUGGACCCUAACUCAGCUAUAAUAGCUUAUUAUGGGCAUGUCGGUUAGAUGACUAUCUCCUACAGUUUGAGUCUCAGUCUCAGUAAAAGAACUCAGAUAGUUCUUUAGAUUCAGGACUGUUAGAUACAGUCUCACAGUUUAGCACAGAACUCAACUAGUUCUAUUAGAAUCAGUACUGUCAGACACAGUCAGUUAAUAUAAAACACAUGUUAGCAGUAUUCAGAUUUAGUAUUAUCAUGACUUCAGUUACAGUUCACGUAUUCAUGCAUGUAUUCUCACGUAGUUAUGUUGGUGUUCAUGUCAGUCAGUUAUAGUUCAUGCAUAUGAACCCUUACAUUCAGCCUACUCACUUGCAUACUAGUACAUUCAAUCAUACUGACACAUUUGCGCUAUGGUGUUUUAUACGAUAGGUUCAGAAGCACGAGCUCUAGAGCAUCAGUAGCAUUCCAGUUUCAGCAGUCAAACUAGUAGUGAGUCCUCAUCAUUCGAGGAUAUUAUUAUUUGAUUAUUUUAUUCUUUCAGUACUUAGUUUAUUUUAGUAUUGGGAGUUAGUUGGGGACAUGUCCCAUCAAAUCCUUAUUCAAUUAGUUUUAGAGGCUUUCAGACUAUAGCAUGUUUAGACAGUUAUUUAAGUUAUUUUUCAGAUGUUAUGCUUUAUUAAAUAUUUGAACCUUAUGGCCUUUCAGCCUUUGAUUCUGCAUUUAUAUAGUAUAUUAUGCAGUGCUUAGGUACAGAUAUAAGUCAUGGGUUAUGUUGUGGUUUUUCGGUCUCAUGAGGACUGCGUAGCAUUCUAGGUACCAUAUUCAGGGCAUUACAAACUUUGUAUCAGAACCUAAGGUUCAAUAGAGUCCUAGGAAGUCUGAAAGCCACAUCUAGUAGAGUCUUCUACAUGGGUGUGUUGCGCACCACAUUUAUGUAUAGGAGGCUAUUAGAUAUUUUAUGAAUAGUUUCCCUUCUUUUAGUCUUCUUAUCGUGCCGGUAAGCAUGAGCUAAACUUAAAAUUUUGGUCUAAUUUAUUUCUCCUAUUUCAUUUACAGAAUAUGCCUCCCAAAAGAAGAAACAGAAAUCAGUCAGCCCCUCAACCCAUCCAAGCAGAUCCCUUGGACAAACAUGUAUCUCAUGAAGAGUUCAGAGCUAUAUUCACUACUCUUGCUAACUCAGUUGUUGCUCAGACUGAAUGUCUUGCUGCUUUUCCGGUCAACCCAGUGGCCAAUACUUCUGUAGCUAGGAUUUGAGACUUCACCCGAAUAAAUCCUUCAUCCGUUUUUUGAGUCUAAGACAGACGAGGACCCUCAGGAAUUCCUUGACCAGGUUCAGAAGGUUACGAAUAUCAUGGGAGUUACUACUAGUGUGAGUGCUGAGCUAGUUACAUAAUAGUUGCAGGAUGUGGCUCACACUUGGUUUAAACAGUGGAAAGCAGAGAGGGCUAGAGAUGCAGGGCCUACUAAGUAGGAGGAGUUUGCCACUGCCUUCUUAGAUUCUUUCCCCUAGAGCUGAAAGAAGAUAAGGUGUUGGAAUUUAUCAACCUCAGGCAGGGCAAUAUGAUAGUGAAAGAUUAUUCUCUUAAGUUUACUCAACUAGCUAGAUAUGCUCCUCAUGUGGUGGCAGGUAGCAGGGCUAAGAUGAGUAAGUUUGCUUCUGGGGUAAAUGAUAGUGUGGUCAAUGAGUGUAGAUCUGCCAUGCUGAUUAAUGAGAUAGACAUAGCCAGGCUUAUGAUCCAUGCUCAACAGAUAAAAGAGAUUAAGAUUAAGAUAAGAGAGAAGUAGAAUAAAAGAGCUAGAACUGAUAGCUUCAAUUACAAUCAGCCUAAGUUAAGGGUGGGUUCUCAGUUCCACCCAAAGUCAUCUGUUCCAGCUCCUUCCACAGAUAGUGCUCCAGUUCUUAAAUUAAGAAAGGGUAACAAAGAUAGGGCGCCAGGCUCUAAAUCUCAGGGCAGUGUUAGUAGUACUCGAACCAAUCCUAUUUGCCAGACUUGUGGUAAGAACCACAAAGGUAUUUGUAGAGCUAGCAGUGAUGUGUGUUUCAGAUGUGGAAAGCUAGGCCACAAAGUCAAAGAUUGUCCCCAAUCAGGCUUUCAGGGUCAGCAAAAUCGUUCCUCAGCUCAGUCUGGUCACCCAAAUUAGCAGGGUGCCACUUUUAGCAACCAAUGGGCAGCGCCCAAAUAGACUUUAUGCUCUUCAAUUCUGAUAGGAUUAGGAAAAUUCUCCUGAUGUGGUCACUGGUACAUUACAGAUCUUUCACUUGCAUAUUUACACGUUGCUAGAUCCACGAGCUUAUUUCUCUUUUGUUACUCCUUGUAUAGCAGUCAAUUUUAGAGUCAGUCCCAAAAUUCUAGCAAGGUCCUUCUAAGUCUCUACCCAAGUGGGUAAAACUAUCAUAGCCUGCCGGGUAUACAGGAACUCUUCGGUUAUGAUAUUUUAGCAAGUCACAUUAGCAGACUUAGUCGAAUUAGAGAUAACUGAUUUUGAUGUUAUUCUCAUUCCUGCUAUAACAUAGUCGACUGCAGAAAUAGAGUGGUCCAUUUUCUAUUUCUGGAUGAACCUAUCCUAGAGUAGAGGGGUAGUACUUCAGCGUUCAGAGGUUAUACUUUCGGGAACCGAAGAUGAUAUCUAAGGGAUGUGUCUAUCAUCUUAUUCGAGUUAAGCAUACUAGUUUCGAAACUCCUAGUCUUGAAUCAGUACCAGUAGUGAAUGAAUUCCCAGAUGUCUUUCCUAAAGAUCUUCCAGGAAUUCCUCCCAAAAGGGAAAUACACUUUGGCAUUAAUCUUCUUGCAGAUACUCAACCCAUAUUUAUUCUGCCAUAUUGAAUAGCACCCGCAGAACUCAGAGAAUUAAAAGAACAGUUGAAGGAUCUCUUAGAUAAGGGAUUCAUCAGACUUAGUAUGUCCCCGUGGGGUGCACCAGUCUUAUUCGUGCAAAAGAAAGAUGGUUCUCUUAGAAUGUCCAUUGAUUACCGUCAGCUCAAUAAAGUCAUGGUUAAAAACAAGUAUCCACUUCCCAGAAUCGAUGAUUUGUUUGACCAACUUUAGGGUGACAACUAUUUCUCUAAGAUAGACCUCAGAUCAGGCUAUCAUCAGCUCAGAGUCAGAGAAUAUGACAUUUCAUAAAUAGCUUUCCAUACUCAGUAUGGUCACUUUGAAUUUUUAGUCAUGUCCUUUGGUCUUACCAUUGCCCCAACAACUUUUAUGGACUUGAUGAACCAUGUUUUCAAGAAGUAUUUGGACAUGUUCAUCAUAGUAUUUAUAGAUGAUAUUCUUUUCUAUUCCCGCAGUAAGCGUGAUCAUGCAGACCAUUUCUAAUAGUAUUGCAGACUCUCAAAAAUCAUCAGUUGUUCACCAAAUUUAGUAAGUACAAAUUUUGGAUAAGGUCAGUAGCAUUCCUUGGUCAUAUCAUUUCUGGUAAUGGCAUUAGAGUUGAUCCUCAAAAGACCGAAGCAGUAAGAAAUUGGCCUCGCACUAUCUCUCCAUCAGAUAUUAGGAGUUUUUUGGGGUUGGUUGGCUAUUACAGAUGGUUUGUUGAGGGAUUUUCUUCUAUUGCAUCCUCUAUGUAUAGAUUAACUCAGAAGAAAGUCAAGUUUCAGUGAUCAGAUCCAUGCAAAAUGAGUUUUCAGGAGUUGAAGACUCGACUCACCUUAACCCUAAUUUUAUCUCUUCCAGAUGGUUCAGAUCGGUUCAUAGUGUACUGUGAUGCAUCUAGAGUGGGUUUUAGUUAUGUCCUCAUGCAGCAUGGUAAGGUCACAGCCUAUGCCUUCAGACAACUUAGGCCUCAUGAGAAGAAUUAUCCUAUUCAUGACCUUGAGUUGGCAGCCAUAGUUUUUGCCUUAAAAAUUUAGAGACAUUAUUUGUACGGUGUUCAUGUAGAUGUGUUCAUAUAUCAUAAAAGCCUUCAGUACGUGUUCUCUCAGAAAGAUCUUAAUGUCCAUAAAAAAAGAUGGUUAGAGCUCCUGAAUAAUUAUGACAUGAGUGUCCUUUAUCAUUCGAGCAAGGCCAAUGUAGUGGCCGAUGCUCUCAUUAGACUGUCUAUGGGUAGUAUUACUCAUGUUGAAGAUAGUAAGAAGAAGCUAGCUCAGGAAAUUCAUCAGCUUGCCAGACUAGGUUUCUGCUUAGUCGAUUUAGCCGAGGGUAAUAUAUGGGUUCAGAGUAGUUCUGAAUCAUCUUUAGUUUCCAAAGUUAAGGAAAAACAAGAUAGAGAGCCCAGUCUAGUCAAGUUGAAAGAGUCAGUCAAGGAUCAGAAGGUUGAGGUUUUCUCCCAAGGGGGAGAUGGUGUAUUGCAUUAUCAGAAUCGUGUGUGUGUGUCAAGUGUAGAUGACUUGAGGCAAUGAAUUCUUGUAGAAGUGCAUGGUGCAUGUUACUCGAUUCAUCCAGGGGCCACUAAGAUGUAUCAUGAUUUACGGAAAAUCUAUUGGUGUAGUGGGAUAAAAAGAGACAUUGCAAAGUUUGUGGCUAAGUGCUCUACAUGUCAGCAGGUUAAGGUUGAGCCUUAGAAGCCUAGUGAGUCCAUACAGGAGUUCAAUAUUCCCACUUGGAAGCGGGAAGAAGUGAACAUGGACUUUGUGAUGGGUUUUUCUUGUACUCGUCAUCCGCAUGAUUCAGUCUAGGUCAUUGUAGACAGGAUGAUCAAAUCAGCUCAUUCUUUUCUAGUCCAUACCUCCUAUUCAGCCGAAGAUUAUGCCAAACUCUAUAUCAGGGAAUUGGUCAGAUUACACAACGUUCUGUUGUCUAUUGUCGCAGAUAGAGGUACCCAGUUUACCUCUCAUUUCUGGAAAGCAUUCCAAAAGGGUCUUGGUACCCGAGUUCAUCUUAGUAUAACCUUUCACCCUCAGACAGAUGGUCAAGAAUAAAGUACCAUUCAGACCUUGGAAGAUAUGCUAAGGGCGUGUGCAAUUGAUUUCAAGGGUAGUUGUGAUGACCCCUUUCCUUUGAUUGAGUUUGCUUACAACAACAGCUCUCAUUCCAGUAUUCAGAUGGCUUCAUUCAAAGCUCUCGAUGAUAGGAGAUGCAGAUCUCUAAUUGGUUGGUUCGAAGUUGGCUAGGCCGCAGUAGUAGGACCUGACUUGGUCUUCAAUAUCUUAGAGAAAGUCCAGUUUAUCAGAGAAAGACUUCGGGCUGCUCAGAGCCGAUAGAAGUCUUAUGCAAAUGUUUGCAGAAAGGAUCUAGAGUUCGAGAUUAGUAAUUAUGUUUAUCUAAAAAUCACUCUCAUGAAGGGGUUGAAGAGGUUCAGCAAGAAGGGAAAGCUCAGUCCCCGAUAUGUUUGACCAUUCAAGAUUCUCAGUCACUUCGGCAAAGUUGCUUAUGAGCUCAAGUUGCCUUCACAUCUAACUUCAGUGCAUCCAGUCUUUCAUGUAUCCUUGAUUAAGAAGUGCAUAGGUGAACCAGCAGUCGUAGUCCCUGUUGAGGGAAUAGACACUCAGAGUGGUCUCUCUUAUGAGUAAAUCCCAGUUGAAAUCAUUGACUAUCAGAUUCGCAGACCGAGGAACAAAGAAGUCCUUCUAGUCAAAGUUCUUUGGAAGAAUCAGUUCAUUAAGGGAGCUAAUUGGGAAGGACAAGUAGAUACGCAGACAAAGUAUUCUCAGCUCUUCUCUGCUAAUUUUGACCCAGCCCAAGGUAAUAGCUUUCCUUAAGUUUAUUCAGCUUAUGGUUCAAAUUUCAGUUAUAAACUAUGCUCAAAUUUUGUUUCAAACAUGGUAUCUUUACCCUGACAUGUUCUGUUGCAUGUUCAUGAGUCAGUUCAGGCAUGUAUUCAAGCAUCAAAUAUGCGUGAUCAGCUUAUCAAUACUCGCAGUCAUGCAUUCAUGUAUCAACUCAGUCAUAAAACCAUGCAUCAGAUAUGCAUGAUCAACAGAUUCUCAAUAAUGUUAGUUAUGUAGUCAUGUUUUAGUUUUUCAUGUUCAGUAUGUACUUCAGCUUAUCGAUUCUCCUAUCUAACUUAGUCUCAUUCAAGGACGAAUGUUCCUUAGGGGGAGAUAUUGUAAUACCCCAUACUUCUACCUAGCUUAAAAAUUAUCCUAAAAAUAUUAAAGACUUUCUUUAAAGGAUGAAUCCACUUUUAUACAUAUAGAAAUUUCAAGAUUUUAACUUUUUGUUGUGUGGGAAAUUGAAUAAGCUUUCCAACGAUACCAAAUUCUCCUAAAUCUGGUAUCGAGGUAGAAAGUUAUGGCCAAAAUACAGAAAGCAGUCUGAACCGCCCAAGUGCGAUGAAAAGGGCCGAUAGACCAUCAAUCUAGCGAUGGGCCAUUUCCCAAGCCAUCGCAGUGGAGGCAGUGAGUCAAACUUUUGUCCAGGCACGACGGAAUGACCGACGGACCAUCGAGCUAGCGAUGGACCAUCACCCAAAAUGUCGCAACCAAGAAAGAAAGACCACAUUCUGCUCUAGUAUGAUGGAAAGGUCGACGGGCCUUUGAGCCAGCGAUGGACCAUCGCCCAAGACAUCGCAAAUCCCAUUCAGCAAUUUAAAGACGUUUUUACAAGGGUGUUUGUGACUUUUCCAUCCUUUUUAACACCUAAUUAUACUAGACCAGGGCUCAUAACUUCAUUAUUCAUCUACUACACCAAAUUAGGGUAUGUCUCAAAGAUCAAUCCCCAAGAACAAGAUCCUAACCCUUCUUAAACAAACCAAGAAAUUCAAGUUCUUGAAGUCCAAGAACUUCAAUAAACUCACAAUCAAGGUAUGUCACAUGUUGAUUCAUUGGUCCCUUUUACCAAUAAAGCUCAAGAAUCUCUUUUCAAAUUUCAAAGAUUGUGUAUUUUCAGUUCAUGAUUUAGUUGAAUUGAAAUUCAUGUCCACGUUGUUAUUGGGUUUUGAUUCAUGUUUUAAGUUACAUGUUCUAGUGAUUGAUCCUAGUAUGUGAUCAUUUGCAUAAUAUUAAUGGUAAACCCUUCAAAUUGUAAAUUUAUUUAUGCAGCCAUGAUAAUUAGAUGCCUUGAUGAUGGUAUAAAUAAAGUAUGCUCCCCAUAUGUUUGAUUAAAUGCCUAUGUGAAGGAAAAAAUGUCAUUAUAGUAUGAUAGUAUGAAAUCCCCAUUCAUUUACAAGUUAAUGCAUGUCAUGUGUUUGAUGAAAUGUCUUAGUCAAUGAAUUAUGGAUAUAUGUGUAGCCAUUGUUGUUCUUUCGAACUUGUGCCAUGAAUUACAUUUAUGCUAUCGAGUCCUAGGGGUAUUUUACCCGACUAUUUAGCUGUGUGCCUAGAGACAGUGUCAGUUUCAUGAUAAUCUCAGUCACACCAUGAUCAGUAGAAUUCGGUCAGUUACAUGACUCGGGAAAACUCAGUAAUCUCAUGAACUCAGUCGGUUAAUAGGAUUCACUAAUAUUUCGUCAGUCUACAAAACUAGAUGAACUCAGAUCAGUUCAUCUUAGUAUAAUCAUUUUAGUGUCUACUCAGUUGAGAGGAGGAUUCAGCACCGAGCGAACCCAAGGACGAGGGCACACAUUGACAGUAGAGAUUGUGACCCUUAAAAUUAAUCCUUGCAUUCCAGAACACUAUAGCUAGUAUUGGUUCAGACAAUAACACUAUCAGUUGAGGGUUGAUGAGGUGGAUCAACACUACCAGACGAGGAUCCCAUCGUUCUCUUUUAGGGAUACUGCCAGAUGAGGGUCACUCACAGCUUAUCCUUACCAAUGGCGUGGUAUUGACACCCUUCUAAUUGUGGUUACAUAUUGGACCCCAACUCUACUAUAAUAGCUUAUUAGGGGCAUGUAUGUUAGAUUACUAUCUCCCACAAUCUCAGUCUCAGUAUCAGUAAAAGAACUCAGAUAGUUCUUCAGAUUCAGGACUAUCAGAUACAGUUACACAGUUCAGCAUAGAACUCAACUAGUUCCAUUAGAAUUAGGACUGUUAGGCACAGUCACUUAGUUAAUACAAAACUCAUGUUAUCAGUAUUCAGAUUCAGUAUUAUCAUGACUUCUGUUACAAUUCACGUAUUAGUGCAUGUAUCCUCACGUAGUUAUGUUCGUAUUCAUGUCAAUCAGUUAUAGUUCUUGCAUAUGAACCCUUGCAUUCAGCCUACCUCACUUGAAUACCAGUACAUUCAAUUGUAUUGACGCAUUUGCAAUAUGGUGUUUUAUACGAUAGGUUCAGAAGCACGAGCUCUAGAGCAUCAGUAGCAUUGCAGUUUCAUCAGUUAGACUAACAGUGAGUCCUCAUUAUUUGAGGAUGUUAUUAUUUGAUUAUUUUAUUCUUUCAGUACUUAGUUUAUUCCAGUAGUUGGAGUUUGUUGGGGACAUGUCCCAUCAACUCCUUAUUCAGUUAGUUUUAAAGGCUUUUAGAUUAUAGCAUGUUCAGAUAGUUAUUUCAGUCAUUUUGGUAUUGAUAUAACAUAUUUUUCAGAUAUUAUAUUUUAUUAGAUAUUUGAACCUUAUAGCCUUUCAGUCUUUUAUUCUGUAUUUAUAUAGUAUAUUAUGCAGUGCUUAGGUACAGAUAUUAGUCAUGGGUUAGCUUGUGGUCCUUCGGGGUCAUAAGUACCGUGUAGCAUUCCGGGUACCAGAUUCGGAGCAUUACAAGCAGCCAUAUAAUAUGUGGGUAGUGUAUAUAAUAUACACUAUUGAUGAUGAUGUUUAUGUAGAGGUUGAUCCCUUUAAAGUGAGUCUAGGGGUUGAGGCCCUAGUAGCUAUAAUCAUGAAUUUCAAGUGACAACAUUAAGGAAUAUGAUAAGAUUGUUAAUGCAUUGAAUGGUAGAGGUUCUUAUAACUAUGCUCUAAAAAAGCUGGACCUUAAUUUAAAGAAUAGAACCACGCCUCCGGCUAGACCAUCCAUUGAUGAGCCAUCUAUUUUGGAAUUGAAGCCCCUCCUAUAUGAUUUAUGGUAUGUAUUAUUGUGGGCUAACAAUAACUUAUCGGUGAUUAUUGUUGUAGAUUUGGUAGAGUCAGAUGUUGAAGCAUUGAUAUCAGUGUUGCAGAGGUUUAAAAGAGCCAUUGGAUGGACUAUAGAAGAUAUCAUGAGGAUUCCACUAGGUACUUGUACUCAUAAUAUACAGCUUGAGCCGGAGUGUAUUCCCAGCAUUGAGCAUCAGUGGAGAUUGAAUCCUCCUAUACAGGUGGUUGUGAAAAAAGAAAUUAUAAAGUGGUUAGAUGCUAGUAUGGCUUACCCAAUUGCAAACAACAAGUGGAUCUUCUUGGUUUAUUGUUUGCUAAAAAAGGGUGGAAUUAUUGUGAUUUCCAACUAAAAGAAUGGACUUGUGCCCAUGAGAACAAUAACCGGUUGGAGAGUUUGCUUGGAUUAUAGGAAGAUGAAUACUUGGACCAAAAAAGACCAUUUACAAAAGCCUUUCAUAGUUCAUAUACUUGAUAGACUAGCGGGCCAAGGUUGGUAUUGUUAUCUUGAAGGGUACUCAAGUUAAAAUCAGAUCAAUAUUGCUCCCGACGACCAAGAAAAAACAACUUUUACUUGCCCCUAUUUUACUUUUGAGAUCAAGCGAAUGCUAUUCGGAUUUUGAAAUGCUCUCGCCACCUUUCUGCAAUGCAUGAUGUCUAUAUUUUCUUACAUGGUGGAGGAUACAAUUGAGGUUUUCAUAGAUUAUUUUUCAGUAGUUGGGGACUCCUUUGAUUAUUGUUUGGACCAUCUAGCUCACUACAGAGAUGUGAAGAUUCUAAUUUGGUGAUGAAUUGGGAAAAGUGUCAUUUUAUGGCUAAAAAAGGUAUUGUUCUUGGGCACAAGAUCUCAAAAUAGGGUAUUGAGGUGGACAAAUCAAAGAUAGAGGUGAUUAAAAAGUUUCCACCACUAGCAUCAGUUAAAGGUAUACUGAGUUUUUUGGGCUAUGCAGGAUUUUAUAGGAGGUUUAUUAAGGACUUCUAAAAAAUUGCAAAUCUUCUAUGGAGCUUUUAGAUAAAGAGGUGAAAUUUGUAUUUGAUGAUGCAUGUCUCAAGGCCUUCAAUAUCCUUAAGGAGCGGUUUAUUUUGGCUCUUAUCAUUAAGUCCCCUGAUUUGUCUACACCAUUUGAGGUCAUGUGUGAUGCGAGUGGAGUGUCCUUAGGUGUUGUCCGAGGACAAAGGAUAGAAAAUAUACUUCAUCUACUUUAUUAUUCCAGAAAGCCAUUAAACCUAGCACAGAAAAACUAUAUAGUCACUGAGCAGGAGUUAUUUGCAGUGGUUUUUGUCUUUAAAAGGUUCCUAUCCUAUUUCACAGGAACCAAAGUCAUAGUCCACACAAAUCAGGCGGAUUUGAGUUACCUAAUGUCGAAGAAAGAUUCAAAGCCAUUGUUGAUACAUUGAGUCCUCUUGCUGCAAGAAUUUGACUUUGACGUUAAUGACUGGAAGUGAAAUGAAAACCAAGUUGAUGAUACCUUGUCUAAAAAUAAGGGAGUGACAAUGCAGAAAAUAGGGAAUGAGCAAGACAUAGAUGAUACUUUUCUUAAUGAGUAGGUCUUGGAAGCAUCUAAAGACUUAAUUCCUUGGUUUACUGAUUUUUCCAACUAUUUGGUUAGCGAUCAUAUCCUAGAAGACUUAUCCUUCUACCACCGUAAGAGAUUUAUGCAUAAGGUGAGGAAGUUCUUUUAGGAUGAACAUUAUCUUUUUAGAGUUCUUGUGGAUUGUGUCAUUCUACGAUGUUUCCCUGAGGUGGAUAUGAUGAGUAUUCUUGAUCCUGCCAUUCAUCACCAGUUAAGGGUCAUCAUAGUGGUACCCACACAACCCAAUAAAUUUUGCAGUGUGGAUUGUUCUGGCCUAUGAUUUAUAAGGAUGAUCACAUUUUUACAGAAACCUAUUACCAAUGUCAGUGUUAAGGAAAUAUUUCACGAUGCCAUAAACUCCCUAUGACACUUUUCUCAGUUUGGCAUUCCACGUGUGAUUAUUAGUGAUGGUGGGUAUCAACCCUUCUUGAUGGUGUAAAACAUAAGGUGGCAACACCUUAUCUUCCUCAGUUGAUGUCUCUAAUAGUGACAUUAAGUCUAUAUUGGCAAUGAUUGUGAAUGAUGCUAACAAAAUAGAUUGGUCAUAAAAUUUAUAUGAUGCUUUGUGGUCCUACGGACAACUUAGAAUACUCCUAUAAGUGCAACCCAUAUCACCUCAUAUACCGUAAGGCAUGCUAUUAGUUUGUUAAAUUUCAGCAUAAGGCACUAUAGGCAUUGAAGAAGAUAAUAUUUUAGUGGAAUAAUGCAGCCAAGAUGAGGUUGAGAAAGGUGAACAAGUUGAAAUAUCUAAAAAUAUUUAACGAAACUAGACAACCAAUAUUUGAAAUCUAAAAUAUAACUAGCAGUCUGACAAGUCUUUACUACCAACAAAAAAGAGCCACUGGGAUAGAAUCCCAGCUGACUUGAUCUAAAUAAAAAGCAACUAAUCAAAUACUGCGUAAAGCUGAAAAUCUGAAUAACGGGUCCUCAAACUGUGAGGACUCACCAACUGUUGGGACGUAGAUAGAGAUACUCACGGU